ACACAUUAAACAAUGACCCACUUUUCUUUGUCUUGUAGACUUAAACAAAUGAAUUUAUAUUAUUUAUAUAAAAUUAUAAACCAGUUGGAAACCUUGCAAUUUAAUCAUUUUAUAUAUAGUCCCUUGUCAUAUAUAUAUAUAUAUAUAUAUAUAUAUAUAUAUAUAUAUAUAUAUAUAUAUAUAUAUAUCAUAUAUAUCGAGGGAAAUACAAGACAAGGUACCAAAUCAAAUCCCCAAAUACACUCUCUGUGUUCACAAAAUAAUUAGAAGAGAAAUAUGGCUUGUUUUAAUUCUUGUCUGUUGUUGAUGCUGAUUUUGGUGGUAAGUAUUGUUUUUACGACAGAAGGUAGGCUACUGUCUUCUUCCUCCUCCUCCUCCUCCGUCCUACUUAUCUCUCAUGACGGGAUAAAUAUGGAUAUGGAUAUGAAUAAAGGAAUUAGAUACUCAAAGAUUUUGGCAACGCUGGGAAUGGUUUGCAAAUGUUGUGAUGAUGGUGAUGGAGGAGACUGCAAAGCUACAUGGGUUGAACCUUGUUCUAAUCUCCAAUGUCAUGCAUGGAAGCAGCAGCUACAUUGAUUGAUCAUCUUUUGUAAUACUAAUAUCUACACAUAUUUGGCAUUUUACUACAAGUUUGUAGAAUGAAACACGAGAUAUCGAUGAUAAUAUUUCUUUUUGUUCUUUUCUAGUGCCAUGUAUGCAUUAUAAAUUUUGUAGUGUGUAUUAAAAGUUAUAAAUUUAUGCUACAACUUCCUUUAAUUUUAGCCCUUAGUUUUGGAAUUUUCACUUGAUCUCCUACUGAUUUCUCAGGAUUAAUUAGUCCAUUUAUGUAUUUUUAAUUGCUUUCAUUCUUAGUAAAUGGUUGUAAAGAGAACAUUGUUUUGAAUAUGUGCAAGCCCUCUUGAAUGAUAUCAAGGAUGGUGACAAGUAAGAAUGUUGAAUGAGUGAAAGAUAAGUGCUUAAAUCAUGCAUGACAAUAUAAUGUUGACUUUUGAAGUCUUAAUUAUCAUCUAAGCUUUUUAUAUUUCAAGUAUUUUGUAUUCAUCUGUCCCGUGACAAAUUGCAAAUUUAAUCUCUAUUGCAUGAUUGGGACCGAGUGGAAAAGACGUGAUUCAGUUUGCCAUUGCCCCAGCUAACUAGUAGUUAGCAUUCCCUCUAGCUAGAAGACUUGAUAAUAGGAUCAUUGACUUAGCAAAGGUUUCAUUCAUGUUCUGUACUACAACACUAGUAGUUGAAUUAUUAAUUAGACUGUGGUUAACCUUGAUUACUGGCAUACAAUGUGCCAUAUAUAUUAGAAGAGGUAAGAACCCACAUGCUCUUUUUUGUUUUUUUCAUUAUUUUUUUCUGAACUAGUUAGACGAGAAGAAAGCAUAAAUUUCUGCUAUAUUUGCUCAAGACAAAUAAGAUACUUCUGUUGUCCAUUCUAGUUCACGGAUCCGGAUCGGAUUCGGAUUCGAUUAUUACGAAAUUAACUUCAUGGUAAAUUGGUCAAUUAAUUAAUACAGUGCUAACACGCAGAGAGAUCACCUCUAAGUUUGCGUGUCGACACUGUAUUAAUCAAUUAAUUGACCAAAAUUAACUUCAUGUUAACCACUCUCUCACUUGACCUUUAAAAAAGAUUGCGGGAUUCCUUGAAUAAUUAAAUUGCAACCUCAUUAUCUGACCCAAAAAUUUAUAUUUUAAGACACGUGUAAAAAUAUAAUUUUUUUUAAUGUGAAAAUAUCAAUUUAUAUUUUAUUACCUAAUCAAAAUAAUAAGAAAAAAAAUGACUUCUUUAACAGUUUUGGACCAACAAAUGUGUUGUAUUCAAUUACUAAAAAUUAUGUAUGGGGACUUGUGACUCAUAAUUGAGAAGUUUUUGAGAAAGGUCUAGUGCAGAGCAUAGCGGAGUGAUGCAAUGGCCCGUUGUGAACCAAAGGUACAGAGCUUCUGCAGGGGUAGCGCGGGGCGCGCCAGUACAGACUUGUGAGUAGCGCGGGGCACGCCGCUGGCAAUCUAAAAGUGGCGCGGGUCGCGCCGGUCGACAGACAUAACUUUUAUGGUUUGAUAUUUACAAGGAUAUUAUGAGUAUUUAGGUUAUAAUAUGAAUUAUGGUUGUAAUAGAAGUAGUAGUUAUAAAUAAUAUCUACUGUAAAGCCCCUAAGGAACUCUCAAAUUAAAUAACAAAAGAAACACCGUACCCGUGGACUAUUUAAAUUGAAGAACCAAAUAAAUUUCUGUAUUAUUUUUUUAAUAUCGUGUGUGAUUUAAUUCUAACAUUAUAUUUAAACAAUAUUGAGUUUGUAUUAAUAUAAGUUUGCAAGAGAUUGAUUUAAUAUAAGUUUGUAGUAUUAAACCUUGCUAAAAGUAGGAAAUUUUCAUCACCCACGCGGCAGCCCACUUUAAUUUCUCUCUUUUCAAAAAGGACUUCCGUGAACAUAUAAUUUACUAGCAAGCAUGUGAUUGCUUAUAAGUUAUAUAAUAGUAGUAAUUCUUAUAUUCUCUAAUCUCUAUAUAUGCUUUUUUGACUUUCUGCUAGCUUAGCUUAGCUUAGCUUAGCUAGCCGAUCAUCAGCUGAUUUUGUUGCGUCUACUGUGCUUAUAAUUGAACUACUUAUCCAUUCCCUCCAUAACCAUAUAAGUAAUAUAUACCGGAUGAUUUGGUGGAAUUUGACAUUUGUGUAUUUAAAUUUUGAAACGAAAAUAUGUAUAAUUAAUAUUACUUUUAGAUUAUGUACAAUAUUUAUGAAUGGAUUGUAUUAACUACAAUCAAAGCAUUUUAAUAUUUAAUGAAUUUAUAAUUGAAUUUAAAAAAGAUAAAAUGAGAUUAUUAUUUUUUUAAUUUGAAUGUUGAACUAAUGAUAUGCUAGCUAUAAAAGGGGAGAUAAUCUUGUGAUUAAGUUUUAACCACAUGAAAAUUUAAAAUAGUCCUUCUUUGCUUAAUGAAUGAAUGAGCUACUACUACUACUAGGUAUGUAUCGAUCUUGUUUUAUUAAUUUUUAUUCGUCUAAUUAAUUAAAGUUAUGCUCUAAACGUCUAAUAAAGCUUAAUUGUGAAUUGUAAAAACUUAAAAAGGGGCAACAGAAAUAGAAGCGAAAGAGAGUGUGGGUGGGGGAUCUGAUUAGCAUGAAGUUUAUUUUUUGUUAAAUAAUUAAUUGACCAAUAAAAUAUUGACACACAUAAAACUUCGGAAUACUGACAACAUAAAAUCUUGUCUUCGUAUCAGUACUUUAUUUAUUAAUUAAUCAAUUUAUCUAAAAAUAAACUUUAUGAUAACUACUUUUCUAGAUGGGAGGGGCCACGUAGAAAAUAUAAAAGGUAGGGGGUAGGGGAUAGGGGGUAGGGGUAGGAGUAGGGGUAGGGCGUAGGGGAUAGGGGGGCCGACGACAAAACCAUGUGAGGUGGCCUCACACGUUAAUGUUAAUGCAUGCGCGGCGACUCUCAGUGGCAUCAGGCACCCCACUCCCUCCUUUCUUGUAUUGAAUCGUAAUUUCGACCUUCAAUUUUUCCCAUUCUUGUCAAUCUCAUUCAUUAAUUGACCUGACCGGAUUUUAUUUCUCCCACUCACUUCCAAUUUAAUUAACUGUUCGUUCUCAUUUGAGAUAAUUGUCCAAAUAGGAAGUAUUAGUAGUAGUCAUAACUUUUUUCCCCCAUGUAACCAUAUCUUAAAAUUCUGUGACCCAGAGAGAAGAGAAGAGUUCGGGGAGGGAGAGGAAGGAAAAGUCAGAAAUGGGUAUGUAGAUAGAGAGAAAGGGAGAGUAGGGUAUGGGGAUUGUAUCCACUUGGAGGAAUUCGUGGCAGUAAAAGGAUGGAGGUCCCACAGUUCAACACGUAUUUCUUCUAGGUGGCACAAAAACAUUUGGAUUUUCAGUUCAUUUCUAUAAAAAUAUAAUUGUAGCAAGUAAGUAUAUUUUUAUGAUAUCUUCAAUCAUCCAUACUUGCUUCAGCCCCUGUUCCACAUUUUAAACUACAUAUGGAUAGAGUUUACAUUAUAAUAAUAAUAAUAAUAAUAAUAAAAGCAUAUGGAUAGAGUUUAGCUACGUAACCCCAAUAUUUUAUGUCGGAUUGUAAUUAUAAUAUGAAUUAUAUAUAUAUAUAGUUGUGUAGUAUACAGUCGUGCUAUGACGAUAAUUUUUUUGGACUAUAAUAACUGUACCGUCGUUAUAAAUCAAAAUAUUUAUAACUCAAAAAAAUCAUCGUCAUAACCCAAAAAACUAUCGACAUAGUAUUUACCUAGCAUAAUAAUCAGAUAUAUAGUCAAAAAAUAUAUAAUUUUUAUAUUUACUAGACUAAAAGACAAAAUGCACCCCAAACUUUAUACCGAUGUUAAUAUUUGCACCCCAAAGUGAAAAAGGUGUCUAAAUACACCCCAUACUUUACUUAUGCGAAACAGAUUGCACACUUUGCUGAUUUAACCGGUCACUUUUGACCGGCUAAGGCUGUAAAUGUUAUUACAGAAGGGUAAGGUCGGUAAUUUAUAUUUAUUGACUAGUUUUUCCCUUCUCCAACUUUCUCUCUCUUCUCCAUACCCAACUUUCUCUCUCUUCCAUAACAAUUUCUCUCUCUCUCUCCUCCAUAACCAACUUUCUCUCUCUUAAACAAACACCCAUUUCCUCUCCCUCUCAAUGAACAUCAACUAUUUGUGAGGCUUUCCCCUUUGAACUACACCUUCCAAAACACUUGCUCAUCUUUUUUUCUUGUUUCCUCACAAAUACCCAAUUCACACAAUCAAACCACCUACUUAAACUCAGCAACCUUAUUCUCAAACUGCCUAUGUGAACUGCUACAAUCCUCCACCAUUUUCCGCAAGUUCUCUUCCUUCACAAAAUCAAGCAAACACUUGCGGGCCAACACUAAUUGUUAUAACCCCUGGGAUCUCCCUGUCAACCACAAAAUCAGCAUAGAAUGGAGACGCCAGCAUAUAAUUUGUAGCAAUUGAGAGAUCCAGAUUUUCGUAGGCCAAAUUUCCAUUCACAUAAACAUUAAAAUAAAGUCUUUUUGACAUGGAACAUUCUCAAAUGGUUGUACAAUUAAGUGCAGUCAAAUAAGGAUGAAGGAUUCCAGAUCAUGAACAUUCUCAUUCAUACAUUGUCUGGCAUACGUAACUAUUCAAGCAUGAUUUUUAAUAAAGACCCAACACAACAUGCAGGUGGAAAUUUAUAGCCAUAGCACCAUCUUCAUACAAAACACAUGUAAAAGGUUCUUCGGCAACAUUAAUGCACGUAACAGGACUCCGCAAUUCCAAACUAGAAAUGCAGUCAUUCAACUCGACAAUAUGAUAAUCAUUUUAUCUCAUAUAUGAUAUAAUAUGACAGUAUUAUCUAGAAAUAAUAAACAAAGACGCAUAUAUAAAGAAUCACACAAAUUGCAAGGAUGCAAUUAUAGAAGAAUCCUUUCACCGUAUUACCAAAAUAGAGAUGCAGAAAGCACUAAGCAGAAUGUUCAAUAGAUUAUAAUCGAGGCCCUGAACAAAGAACAAAAAGAUGCGUAUGUCGUAAUACUGUUUCUCAUUAACUUGCUCAUUUUUCUCAGAAUUCACAAGCAGACCCACAUCAUACUGUUUUGCAACACGGCCGAAAAUUUCAUAAACUUUCACAGAAUCAGAGACAUCAAGCUCCAUAAAUCUAUCGAUUAAGAUACCCAAAAUCUCUGCUAUGUCGUAAUAUAACUGGAAACUUUCUUUCACUAUUGGGUAUAGAGCGACAAUGACAAUUCUGUUACUCUUCGCUGCACCUGUAUGUAUGUAUAUUUCCAGAUAUAUAAAAAUGUUUAGAAGGCGUGUUCCUCGCCUAGUAGCAAAGAAAAUUCUGCAUAAGUUCAUUACCCAAAAACAAAACCAAAUUCAUCAAACCCACCACAGAUUCAAACUUACCCACUAUCAAAACCCAGCUCAAUAAGCUCAAUUCCACCUCAAAACCAUCAAAUUCAACCAAACCCACUUCACAUACCUCAAACCCAAGACCCAAAAACCAAAGAUCUAACCAAACCAACCACACCAAAGAUCAAAACAACGAAACCCAUUAUUAUUACCAUAGACCUCAAACUCAAGACUCAAAAACCAAAAUAACCCAGUUGGGUAGACGAGGAUGAUUUAGAUUCUGAUUUUUGAAAGCUUAAAGGUUCUUCUUCAGACGCUUCAGAUUCUCCUUCAUCGGAGCAUGGAUUCCUGUUUCUGAUCUUCUUCCUCCUCAUCGAUCGAGACUUCUUCCUCGAUUUCGAUCGACUUCUUCCUCUUCUUCAGACGUUUUAUGUUUUGACAGUGACAAGAAUUGUUCCGGUUCAAUAUAGGAGAAGAUAAGGAAAAGACUUGAAUACCCUUUUAAAUUCCUUAGCCGGUCACUUUUGACCGGUUAAGUGCGUAAAAUGUGCAAUCUGUUUCGCAUAAGUAAAGUAUGGGGUGUACUUAGACACCUUUUUUACUUUGGGGUGCAAAUAUCAACAUCAAUGUAAAGUUUGAGGUGCAAUUUGUCUUUUAGUCUAUUUACUAUUACUUGUAUUAAAAAUCAACAUAUUUUUAUGAAAUUGUAAUAUAAAUAAUAAUAAAAAAACUUAUAAAAUGACUAUUUAGACGUGUUGAGAUGGGUUAAGAAAGAGGAUUCUUGUUCUUGAUAUUACCCCGGGUGAGUAACCGAAAGGGAUGUGAUAUUUGCCUAGCGUUUUUAAAUAUUUUUGUAUAUGGAAUUCACUAUUUAAUAUUAAAAAAAAUAGACUCCACAUAUAAAAAUAUUACGAAAAUAUCAAUCCACUCCACAUACACAAAUAUCAAAUUAACAAAAGUGGUUAGCAUAAAGUUUAUUUUUGAAUAAGUUGGAGUGUUGAUAGGCUCAAUGUGUGUCAAUAUUUUAUUAAUCAAUUGAUUAACUUACCAAAAAAUAAAUUUCAUACUAACCGAAUCCCAAAUUAACGCUGACGAAAUAUCACUUACUGAUACUGCACUUGCUUGCCAUCAGUAUAUAUCAUAUGAUAAGAUCAACUACACCAACAAACGCAGAGAUAAGUAAAUAUAAACCUGCAGAAAAGUGAAAUAUAUCGAGCUAUGCCCAUAUAUAUACACAUUAUAUAUUUUUUUAUAGAGAGAGAAGGAUAUUGACGGCAUCCCAAGGGAGAGGUGAAAGUUAUGUAUUAAUAAGUACUGAGAGAGAUGACCUUCUAAUUUACGUAUCGAUAUUAUAUUAUAAAUUUAUAAAAAUUAACUUCAUGUUAAUUAUUUCAAUCUUUCACGUGUCAUUUUUCCGUACUCUCUCUCUCUUCUUUGACGGUGGCUUUUUGCUUAUAUAUAUGCAAAACCCCCUCUCCACCCCUUGUUCAUUUCUUCCUUAGCAGAGCUUAAUUUCAUAUACUACAAAUAUACGAAAUAUCAUAUAUAUAUAUAUAUAUAUAUAUAUAUACGUAGAGAGAGAGAGAUAUGGAGGGGGGGAAACACUCGGGUUCAUCGUCAUCAUCUUCUUCCUUUACUUCUGAUCUUUUUGGUUCCAAAGACCCCUUUUCAUCUUCAUCAUCUUCUGGGAUUUUUGGCUCUAUCUUUGCCCCUAAUUCGACCAAGGUAUUACUAUUACUACUCUCUUCAAUUAUCAUACAAGGGUUUUAGAAUAUAAGUCUUUUCAUUUCAGUUUGGGUUUUUUUCUGUUCAUUUUAUUGUCUCUUCUGCAUUUAUAGCAUGAUUCUUUAUAUUUAAUAACCGUUUUCUGUUAAUGGGCAACAUUUUAAUCUUUAUACUAUAUGUAGACUACUUUUCUUCUCUGCUAUAAGUUCUUUUUUUACUUUUGCUAAGCUAUAGAAGCUUUCUAAAUUUGAUAUUGUGAUUCUUGAUGGAGUUCUUUUCAACUUCACCAAAUUGGGUGGAAAGCAAGCAUUUGAGGUUUAAGGAGUAAUUUAUUUUAUGGGUUUUGUAUUGUAGCUCACGCUGCUUACCUAAUUAGGAAAAAAGACAAAGGCUGAAUUCAGUUUUUUCGUUUAAUUUUGAAAAUUGUCAACCAUUUAAGUGAAAGUAAAACUUGCAAUUUGAGUGAGGUGAUGUUGUGCAUGUUAAUGUGAAUCUUGCCUUUUGAGUUUCUUUCUAAAGUUGGUAUUUCUCUUGGUUUUCAUGGACAUGCACUUGUUUCCAUCCACUCCUCUUCAAUUUGUGUUGUAUGAAAGGUUUAUUCAGUUUAAGAUUGGUUCUGUUUCAGGUUUUGGGAAGGGAAUCCCUGCGCUCUGAUGCAGUUGACAAGAAGAAAGACUCUGCAAGGCAGGCUUGGAUUGCCAAACCUGUAGCUCCAGGUUUGUGAAGUCCAAGAGUUCUGCUCUGUACUUUGUAAUUCCUUUUCUCUUUUAUUCACACUGCAGGGUGUAAUUCAAUUUGUGUCUGCAAAAGAUAGUUUCUUUCUUGUUAAAUUCAUUUGUUGAAUUAUUGAGUAAUGGGAGCUGAAUCUUAUCCCAUUCCCCCCUUUAGUUAUCAUGCUUACAAUUUAAUAUUGAACCACAAGGCCUUCACCAACUUUUCUUAUAGUUUGGGUAUUCUUUUGCUAGACAAAGGAGAGAGAUUUUCUUUUUCGAGUAGUCAUAGUAGAUAAAUUUUUGUAAAUGUUUGUGGCUGAAUUGAGAUUCUUUAGUGACAGCUGACCAUAUUUAGGUAAGAAAAUCUUUUUAUUGUUUUUAAGAUUUUUAAGAUAAAGUUUUAUUAUUUGCUUUAUCUUACUUUGUUGCUCUAAAGUAAAUCAAUUACAAGCCCAUUUGUUUUAAUCUUUGUAUAGGUCCUUUUUGUUGGAAUUAAUAACGAAAUACCUGUCAACUCUUUAUGAUGCAGUUGUUUUUAACUAUUCCCUUUGAUUAUAUACAAUUCAAUGAAAAUUUUGCUUCCAUGAUCAAUAUUUGGCUGCAACUCAGAAGCAGCUUGUUCGUCUAUUGCAUUAAUAUUUCUAAAUUUUUAUUUUGAGAAUUCAUUAAAUUUUAUUUCAUACUAUGUUUUUUGGGAAUGUCUUCUAAACUUUUAAAGUGUUAAGUCAAUACUUGGACUGAAGUUGGCUUUAAUUACUUUUCAGAUGCCAUCCCUCGGAGCAAGGAAGGUGAAAGCCAUAGCCCAUCAAAGAAGGACAUGAGUUCAUUUUAUAAUGAACAAAGGAUACAACCAUGUCAUCUCAGCUCAUCGAUAUACUAUGGCGGUCAAGACAUUUAUUCUACUCCUCAUACUACACACAGUUCUGAAUACUCAACUGUGAGUUUUUAUUCUCACUAGUUAUAUGAUUCCAUGUUGCAUUACACUUUGAGUACAUUUCUUUGUAGGAUUCUGUAAAUAAACAUCUAAUUUUGCUACGAAUGAGAUCAUACAUCAGAUUAACUAGUCACCAAUUCAUCUUGGGUAUAUUAGGAAGAUAACUGUCUUUCAAGCAGAAUUUUAUAUGCGGAAAAUUAAUUAAAGUUCUUAUAUGUCUUCUAUCUAUUGAUAAUAGUUUUUUAUUGUUUCAUUAUUAACGAUAGGAAAAAAAAUCCAAGUCUUUCCUGUUGUGAAAAUGCUCAGUUCUAGAUGAAUAUUAUUGGAAGCUUCAAUUGAUGUAUUACAUUCAAGAUUAUGCUAACAAAAUUGUGAUCUCAACAGUUCAAUAAAGAUGGGGGAGAAGAUGACUCUGGCAGUGCUUCAAGAGGAAACUGGUGGCAAGGUAUCACUCUGUAACUGUUCAAAAAAAUAAGAAAAAGGUGUAUGGAAUUGUUGUUUUGACUACUUUUUUUAUUGUCCUGAAAGGUUUGUUGGUCUAAUUGUCUUUUGGCAGGGGGGCUGUAUUACUAAGAGCGCAUUGCCCAUGGCUUGUGGAUGUCUAUUAUAGUUAACUAGGUAUGUUGAUAUUGAGAUGUUUUUUGAGAAAAAUGUUGUAUGUUUUUUUACCUGUAAAUUAAUCCCAUUUCCGUCACACUUCAAUGCUCCCUUUGUUCCAAAAUAUAGCAUCAAUAUAAAAUUUUCAAGUCAAUUUGAGAUAUUUUUACAUUCAAAAUUGAUUUAAAUUCAUUUAAUUUUAGACGAUAAAAUUAUGAAAAUCAUAAAAACUAUCUAAAAACUACUACUAAUUACAAUAUUUUUUACUUUUAAAAAAGUUGAAUGAAAUUGAGUUUAAAAAGUCAAUAUUGAUUUAUAUUUCGGAACGGAGGGGAGGGAGUAUAAGAUAGAGUUAUGCUUGUUUAUUGUAGACUUGAAUAUGUUGACAUUUGUAAGCUCUUUGAGUUCCUGUCUGGUUUUAUGUUGGUAAACAAUUCACAAUUGUCCCAUAAGAAAAAUGUUGAUUACUGUAAAAUAGGAAUAAGUAAUAGAGAAGAAAUUUUUUGUAGAGGAAAAAUUGAAAUAUUACAAUCUAUAGAAGCUCGCAAUAAAAGAAAGGAAAGCAAUAACAUGUCUAGGAGUCCAGGAGAAGAGUUUCAACAAAUUAUUGUUGGUGAUUUGAUUUCUCAUUUGAUGCUCUUUUCUCUUUGGCCUAAUUGUAGGAUUAUAUUGUUCUUGCUGAUUGUAUUCAUGCAGGAAGCUAUAAAGUAGAAGGUCGCAGUGUAUUUUACCUUGCAGAUGAUGUAUGGAUAGUACCAAUUUGCAGAUGGAGACUGUUGCUUCAUUUGCAGUGUAUUUUUGUAUAAAGUAUAAUGUACUUGGUGAUAUUACUGUAAAUGAUGUUAAGUUUAGAGACUCGACACGCCUUACUGUGUGAUGAAUAAGUUAUUGAAGUAGGCCAUAAUCAUCUUUUAUUUAAACUUACCAUCGGGUUUCCUCUUAUGUUAAUUAGUAGACGUGUAGAAGACUUUUGCACCAAACUGUGAGAAUUUCACAAUCAAAUUGGAAUUGUUGUAGCAUCUUUGGCCUGGUAAAUCUCGAAGCUCAUUUUGGCAUGGAUUCUUUUUUCCGAUGUGGGACUGGAGUGUUAUAUGAAAUGCCGAAAAGGGUAUUAGCCAUUGACGUGCCAUUUGUUAGGAACUACCAAAUCACCCAGUUGAAAUGACACUGGAUUAUCAAAGCAUAAUUACUUUCUUAUCUAUUCAACAAUGGCCUUUGUCCUUCAUCAUCAUCAUCACCACCUCAUGAAGGGAUGUUGCGGGACAGCAAUCACAAUUAUCUUGUUACGAAUUUAUCCAACUGUUUGUCUGAAAGCUGUUGAUUUUUUGUGCAAUAUCUGAUGCUAUCUUAAUCUGAUCUUUAGAAAUGUGGCUAUUCUCCACCCAGCCAUGAGCCAACCAACCAACUUGCAUGUGGAUAUGGAUACAAUAAGAAAGGGCGUUAAUGGUCAAUAUCGAAUCUUUCUAAGAGGUUGUUUCCGUUGGUUUCCGGUUGUGCUAAAGAUGAGCAAAGAUUCUGGAGCCACAUGUUGGCAGGUUUGUGCCUAAUCUCGAUGUCACAUUCAGUAUAUGUCUCUGUUGUUUCUGGUUUGUUAAUUCAAUUAUUUUAGCUCCAUGGUUUAUAUCAUUUUUAUUUUAUUUUUUAAUAAUAUAGAGUUUUCCGACUGCAGUCGGACUAAUCUCCCCACCCCGGCUCGCUCGAAGGCCCCAUUGCCACAAAUGCUGGGUUAUAUAUAUCACUUUUCACUACUUGUAAACAUAACAUGAUUAAUUGAGAAAGGGUUGCGAUUUAUUAGCUAACAAAUCAAUGGCUUACUAAUAUGUAAUCAAUCUUUCUAAUUGGGGUAAGGUUGAUUUAACCAAAGACCUCUCUAAGUCUAUAAUGUUAUGCUGCAAAAGAAAUAAACAAAUCUAAAAAUGAUAGCGCCGUUGCCGGGGAUCGAACCCGGGUCACCCGCGUGACAGGCGGGAAUACUUACCACUAUACUACAACGACCUUUUGUUCUCAAGCUCCGUCUAUUUUGGUCAAGUUGGAUUUUACUGAAUAAUGGAUAAUAGACAAGGCAUAUACAAUAUUCUUGGUUUUUCCUUAAUUAAAUACCCUCUCAAUUCUUUAAUUUUGGGAAAUGAUAUUACUAGCUAGCGUAAAAGUUUUAAUUUUUUAUUUGGUUGUGUAAUUGUUAAUAUUAUUCAAAAUAUAUUACGAUCAUAAAAUGCAAAAUAUUUGUACGGUCAUCAACAAUAAUACAUUCCCUUCCUUUCUAGCUGAAAAUAAUUCACUGAUACAAAAGGGGGCUUGAUAUUUACUGCAUUGGAAUUACCUUUCUAGCGUGAAUGGUGUAUGUAGUACAAUUGCACCAUAUGUACGUAAAUUACGUAGGAAAGGUAAAUACCAUUUAAGAAAAGCCUAUUAAAUGAAGGUUAAUUGAAAGUACAAAAUAAAAAAUAAAAAAAAUGCAUGUAAUAAUUUGGCAUCCAGUGUGAAAAUCCUAAAUCAUUAGUUUUGAAUGGAAUAGGCCAAGAUAGUAGUGUUCCUCUUUGAAUUUAAUCUAUAAAUUCACCAUAUUAAUCGGUCAUCUUUCCUCAAAGUUGAGCCAGUUCAAUAAGAUGAGACUUUAAAAACACAAAAACAAAACUUAGAACACGUAUAAGAUAUACAAAUCAAUCAGCUUACUACCUCUAAGCAACUGCUGAAGAUGUAGUAUCAUAAUUAUUUGGCAGUUCCAAAUGUACAUACAACCACAUCAAAGAAAAGUAUGCAUGAAGAAGAACUCUUGAGAACCACAGAGAAAAUCAAUUCCCAACUGAGCCAUGUAAGUCGUAGCUGACAGCUUGUUUAGAGUACUGGAAGGAUUCUACUGCUGCUUGGGAUCCUGAUGAUGCUUCUCGAACUGCAUUUGAACAUGAACUCGAUCUUCCAAGUUGAUUACCAUAGUUCUUCCUUUUUGUGUCAAUACUUAGAUAGUCUGUCAAAACCUUUUUCACACCAAACCCACGAUGGGGAAGCAUGCUGCCAUCAACGAACGAUGAUCUUUCCCUCUUUCCAGGACUAACUAGCUGUGUAGGUGAAAAUCGUGGCAUGGUAAAAGCUGUUUUAUAUGGAGUGCUGGAGAUUGGUACUGUGUAUGGAACCCCAACACUCUUGUGAGUCAUUACACCAACUUUAGAAAUGGGCAAGAACUGAUCUGAAUGCUUUGUCAAGUCAUCCACAUAAAGAAGGUCGUCAAUACGUGCCACAAUGUUGAAUGCUAGGCUCUCCAAAACUCUAGAGUAGCUCUCUAAAAUGGAUUUUCCAACAUCCUACAGAGGUUGAUGCCAUUUGAGUAUGAUAUUGAAAUUUUGAUGUAUGAAAAAGACCAACAUAAGUUGUAAAAUAUUGAGAUACGAUAGUAAGGGUGCAUUACCUUGUUAUAUUGGAUUUUGCUCAUGUCUAAGGAGGUUUGAGGGAGACCAGGGAACCGUUGCUUCAAGCAUAGCAAGAGACUUUCAGCUCUGUCCGCAAGUAAUUCCCUCUUGUCUGCAUCAAUUACAAGCUCCUUCACCAUUACCCAUGAUGAUUUUGAAUUAGAUCGGUUCAUGCUAUUUUGGGACUUUGAGUUUAUUUUUCUACGCCACACAUAAACUGAUGCCUCCACUCGAUUUGCAAUCUCCAGUGCUUGAUGUUCAGAAGACAAGUCAAGGCACUCUAGCAGACACUCGGGCGAAAAUUGAUCAGAUGUAAUAUAUCGAUGAAUAAGAUCACCCAAGCUAGCUCUUCCAUUCUGCAAUAAAUAGAAGGAAAGCAUAUCAACAAACAAGUCCUGCCAAUCUGAUUACACUCUUUCCCGGUGUAUAUUUUUACCUUAGGAAGGCCUUCCAAGAAUGACUCAGGGACUUCCAUUUCAGCUAAAGUAAUACUGUUGAUAGCCAUGGAAGCUUUCAGUAUUUGGUUUGUGCAAUCGCGUUUGUGCUGCAACUGUUUUCUUGAGUUUUCGCUGAGGCCACUACUAGGCACUCGAGGAACUGGCAGCCACCACUUCUCCUCCUGGCGUGGAAGGGGUUUUCUGAAAGAGGAUGAUCCAUCAGCUUCUGGUGCCAAAAUUCCUUGGUCCACAUACCAGAACUCUGUAAUUUCAAAACUGUCUAAUAUUUCCUGCAACAAGAGACGAAAAUUUAGAAUGGUUACUAAACUAUAGGUGAUCAACCAAGCAAUGAGAGUGGGGAAUCUUACAAGAAGCAUGUUGUCUAAUUUGCGAAGAGCUGGGAGAUUACUGUAAAGAUCUGAUCGGGGUCUACAAGUCAUAACCUGGAUCAUAGCAUAAAUUAAAUUUAAACAAUCAAGUAUAAAUUUUUUCAGUUAAAUAUCAAAGUCAAAAGAGAGAAUUUAUUUUCACCUUUUUCGUUAACUGCAGUUAGUUGACUUGAGUUGACCGGGUGAAUUUUAAUAUAUGGCACUUAACGGUCAGACUUGGUCAACUAACGUUUGUGAGAAAAAAAUGUGAAUAAAUUCUCUCUACUUAAAUGUUCAAGUUGAAAAAUUAUUGUUUAAAACAAAAAAUAAAUGUAAGUUCGUUGAUUUUUGGCGUCAUUUACCCGUACCCGCAUGGAUAACUAAAAUUAUUUCUUUGGUGUUAUGCCUGUAUUAAUUUUACUGGCCUGAAUUGAGUAAAAAUUCUUAGAAGAAUGUGAUAUAAAUAAAAUGGAUAAUGUGCAAACUUGAUUGAGUAUUUGCAAGGGGCACAUAAAAUGAACAUGAAGUUCUAAAUUAGAAAUUACAUUUCACCUCAAGCUUGCUUCCAUCCGGAAAUGUUUGCCAAGUUGGUAUCAAUUCCACAAUGUGAUCACUAACACAAAGAAGCCAUUCCAUUUCCCUUUGCCACAUUGAUCUCUUUUCAGGAGGUAGAGGUUCUAAUCUCCAAAUUUGCCCAAAAAGUGUAGCUAAACGUUGGGUAUAAAAAUAGCAAUAACUAUAAGCCAAUGCAGAAAUUGCAUAGUUACCAUAAACAAAUUCAUAUGAAACAAAUUAAUAAGGCACAAACUACAUUAUACAUAUAUGACAUACCGCACAGAUUAGUGAUUGCAUUAGAAAUAACCAAUGCUGUACAAACCCCAUUUCCACAACCGGACAUAUCUUCCCCAAGCAGUAACUUCGAGAAUCUUUCCUUCAUCAUCUCAAUCUCUACCCAGUCCCAAAAAAACCAAAAGCAAUUUAUCAAACAGUUUGAGGUAAGUAAAUAUAAACCUGCAGAAAAGUGAAAUAUUUUCAAAGAAAAUUAUCAGAUAAAGUCAAUAUAUACCAGAAAAUGAAGAACCUUGUUUCUCUAACUUUUUAUUGUCCAGUUUGGGUUUUUCCAAUUCUUCAGAGACAUCAGAACUUGGACAACGUGGCAUCUCAGUAUUAUGAACAGGCCACCUCUUUGAAGGAGGGGAUGAAAACCCCUCAGAGCUGUUGUGUUCUUCAUUCACUGUUACCUCUGAAGCCAUAAAAUCAGAGCCUGAACUACUCUCCAUACAGUCCUCUUCAACACCAUCCACAAAACCCUCAUUAACAUUAAACCCCUCUUUCAUCUCAUCCAUUCCUUCACUCUUUUCAAUGAAACCGUCCAUUUUAGCCUCAAGAAAAUAAGGUGAAGCACAAUACAGAGAGUUGUUCACUACCAUACCAGUGAACCCAUUUGAAUCCUUAACUUUAGAGCACACAUUUUUAACUGAUUUUGCUACCCACAAAGCUAAAACAGAAAAGGGGUUGGAGUUAUUUGAACCUAUAGGCUUUAACACUGGUUGAUGGGUUUGGUUGUUGUCUUGUCUUGCUUGUCGGAGUGAGAGAGCUCUAUCCAUAAGUCUUCUUCAACCAUCUCUGAUUCUGAAGGGUAAAGUUGGUAAUAAAGAAGAUAAUAUGGGCGCUGCUUGAAGAUGAGCUCUGUAAAAAUUUAUGAAGGCAGUAGAAUGAGUGAAAAUAGUAAUGAUUAAUGGUGUGAUGAAUUGAAUGCUCAAACACCGAAACACAUGAUAUAAUGUGGCCAGCCUGAAGCAUAGUCAAUAAAUUGGCAGUGACGCUCUCCCUUUGCUUUGUUUUGCUUAAAUCGGGCGACUCUCUCUCUCACACACAUUCAAUAUUAUGUUCCUAUGUUUUGCUUUUGCUUAAACAUGAUUUAUAACAUUUAUAACAUAAUUACUAGUACAAGUUUUAAUAAGAGCAAUAGUAUAAUAUUACUUACAACUUAGAAGCAGCAGAUGGACUAUUUCAUCCAUUAUAUUUAGGUUAUAUGACAUUAGCAGAGUUCUUUUAAUAUCCAAUCCUUCUAGCAUAUGUACUAUACCGCGGAUUAUCUUAUGGACUAUAAUAUAAAAAAAUUAAAAUAAUUAAUGAAUUCAUAAAAACUAACCGCUAUAUUCCAACCGCUAUAUUUUAAAGAACAAACAACUUCUAUAAAUAUAAGGCAUAUUCGGUCUCUUAUAUUCACUCAUCUCAACUUCAAACUUCCGGUCAAACACGUUAUUUUAAAUAUGUCUCGUCAAUUUUAAAUAUCUUAAAAAGGAUAUUGAACGAGCAUUUGGGGUACUCCAAACACGUUUUGCGAUCGUUCGUGAUCCUGCACGAUUUUGGGAUCAAACAACACUAAAAGAAAUUAUAACAAAAUGAAUAAUACUACAUAAUAUGAUCAUUGAGGAUGAACAAGAUGAAAAUCAAAAACCAACAACCUAUGAUACACAUGACGAGAUUCCAAUUGUAGAAGUGUGUCAUGAACGUACUCUACAAUUACUUGAAUUUAUUAAAACCAAUCAUCGCAUAAGGGAUAGACAAGUUAAUUCUCAACUUAAAGAAGAUAUUAUUCAACAUUUGUGGUCACUACAUGGCGAAGCGUAAUCCAUUACAUUCUACUACAAUAAUAAGCAAAUCACGAUUCUAUAAUAAUAAGCAUGUCAACUACUAUAUGUAACUCUUUUCAUGAUUUCUUUUUUGCGUUGUUUGUAAUAUUCAGUUAAUUCGGGCUCCAUGUUAGUGGUGAUAUAUUAUAUCCAUGUUCUGUUGUCUCUCUUGUUGGUUCAAUUUAUGCGCACACUUUCGUAGACUGGGCCAAUAAUCAUGUUGGACCACCUCUUUAUCUAAAAGGUUAACCUAUUAGGUUGAUGUUCUAUCAUAUAAUUAUUAACCCAUCUAUCUCUUGAAUUUAUCCAAUGUGAGAUUCAUGUGAAAUAUGCCAAUAUCACCCAAACUUACUUCUUCUACGAUUGAUGAAGAAGAUGUUGUUGUACUUGACUUUUUAGUACUUUUCUAUUUUUUCCCACUAUUAUCUAUUCUCCAUUUCGGUACAUCAUUUAAUACUUUCCAACAAUGCAUAAAUCCAAAUGGUUGAUUUUGCAUACUUUUGAAUAUCUCUAAUACUUGACAUAUCUAUUUUAAAAAUUAUUUACAAAGUAUUAAGUAUAAACUAUUAAGAAUAAACUUAAUAAAAUUUUACAUGAAAAAAUUUAAAUACCUUAUCUUGUUCACCUACAUCGCCUUGUUGCAUUCUUUCAAUUGAGGCAUAAUAUCCACAAAAUUUAUUCACCGCGAGUAGAAUUGUUGACCAACAUUUCGCCAAAGCAGUAGAAUUGCGUUCAGACUCAAAAUUUUUGUAUCCAAGAAAGUAUUCGUAAACUCUUUCUCAAUAUCUUCCAUGUUUCUGAUCGUUUCCUUGAAUUGGGUCCAUGCUUACAUUAAGCCAUCUAGAAACAAGGUCAUCUACAUCAAUUGUGUAAUUUCCCUUUCGCCAUCUUCUUUUAUUGGACUCAUUUUCAGAAGUUUGAAUUGACAUAUCAGUUUGAAUUGAAAAUUCAUCCAACAAAUUUGGAUCAUCAAGUGAGAAAUCUUCAGAUAAUAAUGAAGAAAAAUAUUUCGGAGGACCAUGAUUUUCCAUCUAAAAAAUAAAUUAAAGAGAUAUUAUCAAUAAAAGAACAAAAAUCAAAUAUAAUAAAAAUACAAACUCUUAUUAACAAGAUACUUAUAAUUACUAAAUGUUGAAGUAGUUGAUUGAGAUAUGGUAAAAUGUAUUGAAUCAUUGUACAUAUUUAUAGAUUUUCCAAUUAACAUUUUCAAUUUCUAUCCGUUGCUAUUUUAUUAUUGUUCUGACCAAAUUUUUUAACCGUUCUGCUUUUUUUUAUAUCCGUUGGAGCAGCCCUGGCCCUGCUUCUCUUUCUUCAGCAACUGCUUCUCCUUCUUCAGCAUCCCCAUUUUAUUUCUUCUUCUUCAGCUAACUCUCCCAUUUAAAUAUAUUAAAAAUUAUAAUCACAAUUAUAGUCUAUCAACUCUUGUUCUUUGUUAUAGUGUUUGUGCCUCGCCGAAAAAUUCGCUCGACUAAAUAUAGUCCAUCUGCUAAAGCGAGAUAUGUGUUUUUAGACUAAAUAUAGUCUAGAAUUUGUACACGUCGGCCUACUGAAGAUGCUGUAAGAGACGAUUUACAAUGUUUUAAUUAGUAGAUUGUUUGUUUUGUAAUAUAUUGGGUGUUUGGGACAUUGAAGGUUGAGGUGUUAGUGUGCAGAAAAAAUAAAUUGAAUUUGUGACCAAAUAAGCUUUGGUGUAUAAUUAUUUUUUUUUAACAUUAAAAAUAUCCCCGUGUCAAAAAUUAAAUUUCUUCUUGGAUGAUUUUAAAUAUGCACCUCUCACAUCGAAUUGGUGCAUUCAAUACAAUUCUACCGGGUCAAUUUUACUUUUUUGAACAAUAAAAAUAUUCUUAAACAUCAAUGAUAUUAAAUUCAUUUUCGAACGAUUUUAAGAAUGCACACCCAUAUCGACCUAAUACAUUUAGAAAAAUUAUCGCUCUAAAGUUCUAAUUCAGGGAGAAGAGCUACACCCCUUUGUCUAAACCAAAUAAUCAAAAAAAUCUAGUGGUAGGCCCAUCAAAACUGGGGUAGGCCACAAUGGCAACCGAAAAACAAAGGCAUGAGGGGGGGGAGGGGGGUGAAAAUUAUGAAGAAAAUACUGAAAAAGUGAGGUGCUGUUGAAGUCUAAUGAUAGCAGCUGCUAUUACAAUGUUCCAAGCACAUCUAAUCACUCAUAUUAUGUAUGUAUAUGUAUAUAUCUUUCCUUGUAAGGCUCUUAUAAAUGUUAAGUAGCAGUAAUUUUUGUUUGAUCAUUUUGCCGGUUGCUUGUUUCAACAGCCACUUACAAAGAUAGAUUGUCUCCUCCUAACCACCGCUAAUUAAAGUUGUUUGGUUUGGUUUGAUGUUGAUGUUUGACUUGAAGAGGGAAAGAGAAACUUGUAAGUGAUUCCACAAACUAAACUUGUAAGUUCAGUUCGGGGUCUCGUAUGGUAAAAGACAGACAGACCCUAUUCCAAAUCUCUUAACUCAACAUUCUCCUCCUCUUUUGUAAAAGUAUUACAACAACUUAUGCCUAAUGUUAUUAGUAGAAUAACCAUUCAGACAUUUCAAGUACCAAUUGUUCGGGCACCAUGCCUUUUUUAACUAGUUUUAUCUAGUUAAAGGAAAGCAGUUUUGAAAUUCUUGUUGGUUGCUAGCAAAACUAAUCCAGUCUUUCAUUUUGGGUUUUAGUUCUUGGUUGCCCUACGGAAGCAAAAGUCUGGAAGAAGGCCACUUGAAAAUGAACUGAAAGUCAAUAAGUUCUUUGGAGGAGAAAUUAUAAAUCUGGUUGACAUUGCUGCUAGUUAUGUAGCUCUUUGGCUUGGAGUUAAUAUUCAACAAGUAACUGGGGUACAAAAUUUGUACACCAAAGAGAAGUUCCCCAGAUUAAUUAAGUAAAUGGAUUAAUGAGUUCCUUAAUUGCUGCAUUAUUAAGGAAAAAUUGCCUCCUAGAGCUGAAUUACUCGUCUGUUUACGGCCUCGCUUUCAUACCAGACACUAAUUAAUAUUUUUGUGUAGCAUAUAAAAUUGAGCAUAAUCUUCUAUGUAACACAAACUAUCCUUGGUAGUUUGUUCUUUUGUAUAAACUGGUGAUGUCUGAUGGAUUGUUUGUUUAGGAACUUGGCUUUUCUUUGUUUUAUUAGUUGAGCAAAAAGUGAAAUAUGUACCUACUUUAUGUUGGAGAUGUCUUAAAAAGUAGUUUCAUUGCAUUUUUCCUUAGAUCAGUUUCCAGAAGCUUGCAUGCAUUUGUGUCCAACUGCAGUUAGAGAGCAAAGAAGAAAAGAUUUUCAUUUGUGAAAAAUCUUGAGUCAAAAGGCAUGGAUAAAAAAUUCAGCAACACAUAUCUCCCAUGGUUAAUGGCAUCAUUGAUCUAAUUCACUAGCUGCUACCAAAUCUGCUGCUGCUAGUAACCAUUUCAUAGACUCGAAUACUAUCAACAUGACCAUAAUUCUCCUUAGCUACCCGUGCAAACAACUCAACUUAGUUCAAUUAACAGUUAGAAGAUAACAAUUAACCUAACGAAAAUAAUAACAAAGAAAAAUAAAAUUACACAAGAUACAAAAUUUAUGUGAUUUGCCUAAAGGUUGGGUCAUUCAUUCCACGGGCAACACUAAUCUCACUAGUCACUAUCUACAAAACGAUUAACCCCAAAAGGUGGGAGAAAUGACAGAGAUGCUGAAAAAUAACCUCAAGGUUGGUAGUAGCAAGAGCAGGCCAUUAAAUUAAGAAACUGAUGACCUCCUAAAAACACUUGAAAAUGAACUGAAAGACAAGAAGUUCUUUGGUGGCCGGGAGAGAGCAUUGGACUUGCUGAAGUUGCGGCAUAUUUCAUUGCCCUUUAAUUUAUUUUUGUGUGUGUGUGUGUGUGUGUGUGUACGAUGUUCUCGGUCUCUGUUUUUUGUUUGAUCAGUUGACUAUAAAUUAAAUUGAAAGAGGCAGCAGUAUAUUUUCAGUAUUUUCCUAAAUUCAGCUUUCAUUAGCUUAUGCAUUUUUGACAUAAUAAUAGCUCAAGAGCUUUCUAGUACAUUCCGAUACAAAGUUUCCAUUACCUUGAAAGGAAGGAGAAGUCUUUUUCUUUCCCCUUUUAAAAUAACGAAGUGGGGGAGAGUCAACUUACUUUUUUAUUUUAUUUUUAGAACUUACACUAUUACAAUAUAAUAAAGAAAAUGGAUCAGAAGGGGAACUAGGAAAGAACCAAAGGAAAAUAUAAAUUUUCAACCUUCUGAAGUAUGGUUGAUUAAGAGCUUUAUUUUGAGAGAUGAAUAUAAAAUGAAAAUAUUUUUAAAUGAAACUCUUUACGUACGUUGGGACUUGGGUCAUUGUCAUUGGAAAAACAGCCCAAUUUCACAUUUGUACUCAUAUAACAAAUUGGUUGACAAAUUUCAAAUAAAAAUCACGCGACUAAAAUUGAUAGCUGCAAUCAUUCAAUUCGAAAAAAUACAAGGAACAUUUUUAUUCGAUUAAAAAAAUGAUAAUUAAAGUGCAUAUACAAAUUAUUAUAAUGUCUUACAACAUUAUGCAUGUAAAAAUUUACUACUAUUGGAUUUAUUACAUUAUAAUUAAUACAAUUAUUAAAAGUGAAAUACUCCAGUAUAAUGAUAAUGAUAAAAUUGUAAGUAAGGUUGCUGAGGUCACCCCAUAGGUCACUUCUUGUAAUAUUAGCUCUGAAUUAUCCCUAGCUUGAAUGUGGCCAAAAAAAACAGAAGAUUCUAGAACCAGCCAUGUGUUUCUGAUUAUUAUGUGUAUGGGUUUGGUCAAUGGAAACGAGAAUAAUCGGCAGAACAAUAGUAUAUCCUUUGGCCAAGUCAAGUUGUGUAUAUAUAAACAAGCUGGAUCCCUAAGAGAAACCCAGAUCUAAAUAAAAUACAGUCUUUCUUUCUUUCUUUCUUUCUUUCUUUCUUUCUUUAAAGAACCAAACUUUGUGACGAUGGCUGAUCAAGAAGUGAAAUUGAUUGGUGUCUGGGGAAGCCCUUUUAGCCGAAGAGUUGAAAUAGCUCUGAAAUUGAAGGGGAUCAAAUAUGAAUUUUUAGAGGAAGAUCUGUCCAACAAGAGUCCCCUCCUUCUCAAAUACAACCCUGUUCAUAAGAAAGUCCCUGUCCUCUUGCACAAUAGGAACCCUAUCGCAGAGUCUCUUGUAAUUGUUGAGUACAUUGAUGAGACCUGGAAAUCCGGCCCACUCAUUUUGCCUACAGAUCCUUAUGAAAGAGCCAUGGCCCGUUUCUGGGCAAAAUUCAUUGAUGAUAAGGUAUAAUAAUAAUGCUAUUUUAAUUUUUUUUUUAAAUUUAUUUUUCUCAAGAUUAUUAGUUUCUUGUUUGUUGCUGGUAAACUAAUUGAUCUUUAAUUUGUUGGGUUUAGUGCUUGCCUGCAAUAUGGAAGAUUCGGCGGAGCCAAGGGGAUGAACGGAAACAGGCCAUUGAUGAAGCUUUUGAGCAUCUGAAAAUUCUUGAAAAUGAACUCGAUGGCAAAAAAUUCUUUGGGGGAGACAAUGUUGGAUUCGUUGAUAUUGCUGCUAAUUUCAUAGGCCUUUGGCUCGGAAUUGUUGAAGAACUGUUGGGGAUAGAAUUGCUGACCAAAGAGAAACUUCCCAAGUUAUGUGAAUGGGUUGAUAACUACCUGAACUCCGACAUUAUCAAGCAAAGUUUGCCUCCGAGAGAUGAACUAGCUGCGCGUUUACGAGCUCUUUUCCAACCCAAGUAAAUGAUCUAUAUGAUUUAUCAUGGAAAGUUUUAUGGCAAACUAUUGUUUGUAGUAUUUGUUUUUAUGGUGUUAUGUUUUCAUGUCGAGUCAUGUGUUUGUUUCGGAAUUUUCUUUUCUAUGUUCGAUUAGGUGAGGCCUGAGGUGAAAGUGACGUGUGUGGUAUGCUGUAGUCUAUGUUCAACUAUGUGUUGAAGUAGUUUGUCCAUCAUUUUUCCUAAUCCUAAUAAUAUAGUAUCAGUUUCCAUUGUGUUGUUUUUUGUCGACAUAUUACAAUUCCGAAAUUGGGUGGCGGUGAAAUAGGGCGAUGAAAAUAGUUUAUACCCAAAUAUGAAUUAUGUGGAUCGUGCAAUCCUGUCAUACAGGUAGCAUGUGCAAUUACUGUUUAGCGUGUGAAUAAUUUGUAACCAGAAAAUAUUUGGAAGGACAAUAGACCCUAAAUUCUAUAAUUGGCUUUGCCACUGCUCAUUAAUGGAGGGCCAAUGAUGCCCAAAUUCCAUAAACAAGAACUAAGAACCUUAGAAAGAUGAACAAACCAAGAUCAAAGUUGCAGCAGAUAUUCACAGUUUCUGUCCAAGUUUAAGAGCCAAAAAGUGUUAGAAUGGCUGACGAAGAAGUGAAGUUAUAUGGGAUAUGGGGAAAGCCCAUUUAGCAAAGCAAAGCAAAGAAGUGGAAAUUGCUAUAAAAAUCAAGGGAGUGGACUGGUUGACAUAGCUGCCAAUUUCACAGGCCUUUUGGCUUGGAGUUUUCCAAAAGUGAUGGGGAUAGAGUUGUUGACCAAAGAGAAGCUUCCCAAAUUAAGUGAAUGGGCUGAUGAGUACCUUAACUGCAGCAUUAUCAACCAAGGUUUGCCUCCAAGAGAUGAACUAUCUGCCUGUUUUAUCGUUUUUGUUGUUUUUAUGAUGUCUAAUGCUUCCAUCCCAGAGUCUUGUAUUCGUUUCAAAUGUUUUAUUUUCUAUGUUUGAUUCGGGGAGGGGAAAAUGAUAUAUGUGCUAUUUAGUGGUGGACUACGAUCAACAAUGUGUUGAAGUAGUUCCUUUUUCAUUUUCCUAAUAAUAUCAGUUUCCAACUUUUCAUUUAGAUCUGUGUUGCAUUUUUUAACCAAAUUCAUGCAUGAUAGAGUAGUAUAUUUAUGUUCUUUCAAAUACCUAGAAUCUAGGGAAGGGACUCAUCUAGCUGACCUUCAGCUUGUUAACCAUCAAUUACAGCAAAAAAUUCUUUUGAAUUUAAGUUUCUUUACUGUUAGUUGCAAAUAAAACUAAUUGGGGUAAAGUGGUUGGCUAUCAUUUCCCAGAGCUAAGACCUGGAAAAAGACCAUGAAGAAGUUGGUGAGCACUAAUGAACUCAAAGAUAAUAAGUUCUUGAUGGGGAAUGGACCUGAUAAAAUUGUUGCUAAUUUCUAGGCCUUUGGCCUCCAGAUGUAAUGGUAAUGGGAUACUAGAAUUGUCAACGAAAGAGAACUAUCCCAAGUAAAGUGAAUGAGAUUAUCACAGUUCCUUAAUUGCAUCAUCAUUAAUGUUCUAUGGAACAUUAAGCAUACAAAGAUAACGACCUCAUAUGCAUAUAUGACACUAUUAACUGAACAUAAAAGAACUAUGGUACAAGUAAAGAUGGCCAUUAGUUUACCAACAAGUCUUCCAGAUUGUUGGAUGGUUUAUAAUUUCAAGAACAAAUCUAAAACCACUGUAGAGAUAAUAAUGAAACAAUGGUAGAUCCCAUAUUAUAAAUUUCACAAAUCUUGAAAUUUACAUUCAUUUUUAAGUAUCAAACCCUGAACAAGCUUCAUAUAAACUGAACAUCAUCCAAACCCAGAUUGAUAUAUAAGAAAUACAGUAAACAAAGAACACUCUGAAUCAUUAUUAAUAGCAUAGGUACUCGCUUAUAGAUCACACCAUGGUAAAUUUUUGUUCUUGAUCAGUGCUUCUUGAUUUGGGGCUCCUUGACGACUGUGACAGGGCAAUUAGCAUGGGUCAUCACAUAGUUGGUAACGCUCCCCAGGAUUAUCCUGCAUCAUCACUUGAGUGAAUUACAGAUCCAACGUGAUGAAAUAAAAUACUGUAAUUUAGAAAAUCUAAACUGUUUUGACAAUAACGUUUGAAUAAAUAAUAAAGUUAGGACCUUCACCUUUGAAUGGUGCCUAGUCCUCUGCUACCCAUGACCAAAGAAUCCAGCUUCAGAUCUUCAACAGCAUCACACAACUUCUCUCUUGCAUCACCCCAAUACAGUUUCGAUAAAAUGGAAAUCUACAAAAACACAGAAUGUAAACACCCACAAAUCCACAUACUUAUAUAGGAAAUUGGAAAAUCAAAAUAAAAUAAAAUUGAACCUCUUUCUGUCUAGAAGCAGUGUCAAGAGUGUCGAGAACAUCAAUAUCGAUCUUUACAUCGUACUUUUUAAGAACCUCAAUCUCACGAAACUCCGCCAAAGGAAUCAGAGCUAUAAAAAGGAAAAUACCCAGAUGAAAUUCGAUCGAUUUGAGAUUGAGAAAAAGGUAAAAGUUGAUAAACUUACGGGAACCAGAUUCAGCCCAGAGCCUAUUACGAGACUCGUCAUGAGAAGCAGACUUAAUGUGGAGGAUGUGAAGGGUGUCUCCUUUAUCAGCCAAAUUGUCAAUGGCCCAAAUAAGUGCCAGUUUGCUGCUAUUUGAGAAAUCCAUGGCCACUCCUAUCUUCCUGUCUUUCGUCAUUGAGCUUCUUCUCUUCUCUUACUAGGAGCGUCUUCUUUCUUCUUUCUUCUUUCUUCUUUCUUCUUUCUUUGUUGCUGCUACUAAUUAUUAGUCUGGAGGUUUUGGUUUUGGUUUUCUUUUGACUGAUAAAUUAAGUAACAGACAGACAGACAAUUGCUUUUGUAAAGCUGUAAGCACAAGGCAUUGACAGAUUGCCUUGUGAUAUACGUUUUGUUUUCCAAAAGUAAUACGUGUGCGCGCGUUGUUACAAAAGAUCCCAAGAAAAACGUAAGCGGUUAAUAUGAAGUUUAAUUUAGGAUAAAUUGAUCAAUUGACUAAUAGAAUAUUGAUACGCAGGCGAGGUUAUAUGUGUGUCAGUAUUUUAGUAGUCAAUUGACCAACUUACCAAAAAAAUACUAACUUCAUGCUAACCGGAUCCAAGAAAAACGUACCAUAGACAGGCCCAUUCCCAUCACUAGGUUUUUAUAGUUUCAAGAGUUGUUAUUUUAUGGUAUAAAUUUUUAGGACAGAUGAAAUUGUUAAUUACAUGUAAGAGGGAUUGAUGCACUCAUUAAAUUUAAUUAUGAAAAUAUUAAUUAUUAAUUUUUAUUAUAUGUGGGUCAAUAGAAAUUAAAUUGUAAUUGUGGAUUGUGAAAUCCCUUAAUAAUAAGGGUAAAAUAGUCAAAAGAAUUUUAAUCAAUCCUCCAUUUAAUAUAUAUAUAUAUAUAUAUAUAUAUAUAUAUAUAUAUAUCCUAAACUCCAAAAAAAAACAUUUAAAUAUCCACCUAAAUAUUUGGCUGGCUAAAUCACAUCACAUGGGGAAGGCACUUUCUUCCUUGCACCUUCCUUUUUCUUGUCAUUAUUUGUCUAAAUAUAUAAUAAUAUAGAAGAAGAGCUCUUUUUAAACUAACAAUUCUAUUUUGGAAUGUAAAAAAAACACUUAUCUUCGGACUUGAAAACAAUUUUAAUAAUUAACAUUCAUCCGUUUAAAAAAAAAAAGAAUUAUAUUUAAAUUUGAUUCCAAUUUAUUUAUAAAAUUUUAAAAUUCAUGUUAUGAUGUGGUUUUAUUUAAUUUUUAAAAAAUAAGUUAUAAUAUUAACUAUCACAUCAAUUUUAACUUUUAAUAUUUUAUACAUUAAUUAGAAAAAGUGUAAAAGGGAUGGAGUAUUUUAUACAUUAACAUAUUAUUUGAGAUCUCAAAUUCGAUAUUUCUGACAUUUUUCUUUCAAAUGUACUCCAUCUAUCUACUUUAAAAUAAAUUAAAAAAAGCUUUGGUUUAAAUCCAAUGCUUCAGUAGGAUCACGGGCCUAUGUCUGUGGGCUAAUAUGAAUUGGGCUGGGUUGGAAAAGAUUACAGCAAGGCUUGAAAUUGACCUUUCAACAAAAAUUGAAGGCUUGUCAUCAUCCACAGGCCCAAACAAAAGAAAAACGUCCCAUUUUGAUAAAUUUAAUGUAAGGUUACUUUUGACAAUUAAUGUAUUGUAAGUUUUCUAAAAUUCUUUUAUUUAUUUUACUACUAGUAGUAGUACUCCUUCCAGAAAUUCUUUUAUUUAUUUUUAUAUCUUUUGGACUAGGAGUAGGAGGAGUAUAUUUUACUCGUAUUUUAAGAACUUUAUUUCUUUAUACUUCAUUUUUAAAUGCUGCUACUAAAUGAUGAUGUUUAAGGACUAAUCCGGGCCCACACCUGUCAAAAAUGAAUUUGAACUCUCACUAAGUGGAGUAAUUAACUAAAAUGAUUUUAAAAUACUACUUACUUCAGUAGUAACGGAGAGCAGAUCAUAUGUCUUUAAAUUCUCUGUCCUCUUAUGUUUUCUUAUUUAAAUUUUGAUAUAUGUCUUUUUAUUUUAUUUAAAAAUUAAUUAGUGUUAAGUAAAAGACUAUAUGUCAAAAUCUAAAUAAAGAAACACAAGAAAACAGAAAAAUUAGGAACAGAAAAUUUGCUCUCGUAGUAAUGGAAGGGGUUGAGUCUCACAAAACCUGUUGAGUUCCGCUAAUCAAGGCGACAUGUUUCUCGCUCGAUCUUCGAGCUUUUCCCUACACUUGCACUUCUUCAUUAAACAUUACUACUAAUUUUCUCCGUUUUAAAUUGAAUCUGAGAGGAUCUGAUCCCGGUAUUAUUAUACCUUAAAAUUAAUGUAAAAUAAAAUUAAUUUUAAAAGAAUAAAUAUAUGUGAUUAUGAUGUAAUAGAGGGGCAUAGUUAGGAAUUAAUUUGAGUGAAAGGUCGGGGACCAAAAAAUUAUGAGAUUAUUUUUUAUUAGUAUAUACCAAUACAAUGAUAACAUGUUUAUGUUUAAGAUAAUAUUUUUUUUUUUGCAAAAGACGAAAAUAUAUUUUAUUAAUGAAAUAUACCCCAUAAUCUAAAAGAUAGUUUGAGAGACCUAACAUUAUAUUAAUUUUAUUUAUUUUGACUUUAAAAGUACGUACUAUGUAGAUUUUUUUCGUAUUACUUAACUUUAUUUAUCUGCAUUUAAAAAUUACAAAUAAAACCUUGUCUUCUAGCUAGGAUAGAGGGAUUACAUACCAAUAGCCUACUUUGACCGUAUAUUAAUUUGUCAAAAUGUUGACAAAUGCAUUUUGGCAUAUAUAUAUAUAUAUAUAUAUAUAUAUAUAUAUAUAUAUAUAUAAAGUGAACAACAGCAACUUUAAAAAAAUACUAAUGGAAGAAUAAAAUAUAUAUAUUAGUUAAUAUGAAAAUUUGUAACUGUUAAGUAUAAAUUAAUUACUUAAUUAUUGGGAUAUUCAUUUUAUAUUACCGUUACAAUAUUAUAUUACCGUUCUAUCAAUAUAUUAACGUUGCUCCAUAUUAAAGAAAUAGUACCGUUCAUGCAAUGUUACCGUUGGAUUUUCUUCGUAUAUAAAGGCUGAGCACUUUGUUAGUCUGCACACUUUUUCACUGAAAUAUAUUUGUCUAUACAGAGAUAUAUAUAUAUAUAUAUAUAUAUAUAUAUAAAGUGAACAUACAUGAUGUUGGGAUAUGAUUAUUUGGGUCUAACCAUGGUGCAACUCAGUCUAUUUAAUGGUCCGGAUCUGGUGAUGGCCCAUAUGUAUUUAUUGUGACAGUGGAGAGUCCUUAUUAAAAUAAAAUUGUGUUUCCUUAUUUGGUGGGAUAAGGAGGUUUAAUUAGGACUCCUACUCUUAAUUGAAUUCAGUAGUUAUAAGGUGAUUCUACAAAAGGAGUCCUUCUCCUAGUUAGAUGCGGAUAGAGGUGACUUCUAUAUAUACGGCUACAAGCUAGGAUUUGGGGACAAGAUAGAAGAACACAAGAGAUACAACACAAAUACACAACUUGUACUCUCUAUAUUAUCAACUUGUACUCCCAAUAUUAUGAUAAUGGAUUACUCUCUCUCUCCAUGGUUUUUUCCCAAUUGGGUUUCCACGUAAAUCUUGUGUUCAUACUUUAUAUUCUUCUAUUUAUGCUUAUUUGAGUGCAUUUAACAAUACAAUCAACCGUUAGCGCGAUUUUGGCCUGCUGUUUUGGUGAUUUCGUCAAGCGUACAAAAUUUGGCGUUAACAUUGGCGUCAUCAGUGGGAAGCAAGACACUUGUUCUAAUGUCGAUUUAAAAUCACUGAUUCACCAAAGGAGAUAAGUGAUUUUUUUUAUUAAAUUAAAUAUAUACUUGUACGUAUGUAUAUACUCUGCUAAAUCCUCUCCAUUGUCUCUCCGCCCCAGGGGCCUUUCUCGUGAAAAGUAGAAAGACAAAAUUUAGCCAAAAUACUAGAUCAGAUCCACCUGAAUUUCAGCAAAACCAAAAACAAAGCCCUAGGAUUGAUUGAUCAAUCAACAAAUAAUGGCUCAACUCUCAUCAGAUUCACUAUCUGCAAAUCUAGACUCUUCUCGCGCCGAUGAUCAACAAUCACAGAGCUCUUCUUCUGAUCCGUCUUCACAACUUUCACGUAAUCUAUCAUCGAGUCGACUCAACGCCAAAGCGCCUGAGUUCAUUCCUCGUAGUAGCAGUUCAACCGAUCCAACUCAGCAGACCCAGCUCUUAUACCACCAACCGCCACAGCCACUUACCCCGGGCAGUGGUUACUUCCAUGCGUUGGCGAUUCAGGGUCAUGUGAGGGUUCCGGUUCUUAACAAUCGUGCGUAUGCUCAUCACGUGUCGGUUCAAUAUCAUCAUCAGCUUGUUCAAGCUCAGAAACAAGGUGUCAUUGAUUCGGAUCAUGUUCCUAGGAAUGGUCUCACCGAGGAAGCUGCUCAAAAAAUUCUUAACCAGCAACAACUUCUUCUAUAUGCUUCUCGAAGCCAACCAAGGCAAUCCAAGCCCAUCGGCUUCAGCAAAAUGAAACUAGCACCUGGAAUCAACACUGAUCGUCGGGAGAAUAACAAGCCUCAGAUAGAAUAUGCGUGGCUCUUAAUUUUCACAAAUGGAGGGGAGCGAGCAAUCACCUCCACAUAUUAAAUAAGAGAUUUUGUUGUCCUUCGUUACUAUCAACAUCUGCCGACCACAUGGGAACAGAUGAAGUUAAGUUCGGACCACUUCGACAAUCUCUUUGGCGAUUCCUUUUCGGGCCAUACCGGUUUCAUCAUAUCUUCGGUUGUUUACUUUCGGCAGAUAUAAAGUCUGAUCGAAGCCUCCCACAGGGGUCGGGACGGAUAUUAUGGCGGCAUAAGGUCGGAGGGGUUAUAAGGUCAGACAAACGUCCUUCGAGAAGGCUUUGAUCUCCCGAAAGGAUGAACAUUCUACAGAUAUAAAUCCCGAGGAUAAAAAUUCUGAGGAUAAAAAUCCCGAGGCUAUAAAAUCCCGAGUAUAUAUAAAUCCCGAGGAUAAAAAUCUCGAGGAUAUAAAUCCCGCGGAGACUUUUUGAAUACUCUCUUAUUUAUAAGUUCCUUAUAAAUAAGAGACUGGGAGGCAAUGUUAGGGUGUUAUAAGGUUGGUUCUUUAUAUCUGCGGUAGUAAUAAUGUGACGCCCCCAAAAUAGGUCCAUUCCACCCAACCCAUUCUGAGUCGCCAAAUACAUGGUACAGAAAUAACUACAACUUUAUUAAUACAUUUGUCGUGCAAAAUACGACAACAUAUAUACUGUGAGUUUAAAUACAAUUAUUGUCUUCUAGACAAUAUACAUACCCAAAUAAAUCCCCAUCAUAAUUAUUGAUACAUCAUUUUACAANNNNNNNNNNNNNNNNNNNNNNNNNNNNNNNNNNNNNNNNNNNNNNNNNNNNNNNNNNNNNNNNNNNNNNNNNNNNNNNNNNNNNNNNNNNNNNNNNNNNNNNNNNNNNNNNNNNNNNNNNNNNNNNNNNNNNNNNNNNNNNNNNNNNNNNNNNNNNNNNNNNNNNNNNNNNNNNNNNNNNNNNNNNNNNNNNNNNNNNNNNNNNNNNNNNNNNNNNNNNNNNNNNNNNNNNNNNNNNNNNNNNNNNNNNNNNNNNNNNNNNNNNNNNNNNNNNNNNNNNNNNNNNNNNNNNNNNNNNNNNNNNNNNNNNNNNNNNNNNNNNNNNNNNNNNNNNNNNNNNNNNNNNNNNNNNNNNNNNNNNNNNNNNNNNNNNNNNNNNNNNNNNNNNNNNNNNNNNNNNNNNNNNNNNNNNNNNNNNNNNNNNNNNNNNNNNNNNNNNNNNNNNNNNNNNNNNNNNNNNNNNNNNNNNNNNNNNNNNNNNNNNNNNNNNNNNNNNNNNNNNNNNNNNNNNNNNNNNNNNNNNNNNNNNNNNNNNNNNNNNNNNNNNNNNNNNNNNNNNNNNNNNNNNNNNNNNNNNNNNNNNNNNNNNNNNNNNNNNNNNNNNNNNNNNNNNNNNNNNNNNNNNNNNNNNNNNNNNNNNNNNNNNNNNNNNNNNNNNNNNNNNNNNNNNNNNNNNNNNNNNNNNNNNNNNNNNNNNNNNNNNNNNNNNNNNNNNNNNNNNNNNNNNNNNNNNNNNNNNNNNNNNNNNNNNNNNNNNNNNNNNNNNNNNNNNNNNNNNNNNNNNNNNNNNNNNNNNNNNNNNNNNNNNNNNNNNNNNNNNNNNNNNNNNNNNNNNNNNNNNNNNNNNNNNNNNNNNNNNNNNNNNNNNNNNNNNNNNNNNNNNNNNNNNNNNNNNNNNNNNNNNNNNNNNNNNNNNNNNNNNNNNNNNNNNNNNNNNNNNNNNNNNNNNNNNNNNNNNNNNNNNNNNNNNNNNNNNNNNNNNNNNNNNNNNNNNNNNNNNNNNNNNNNNNNNNNNNNNNNNNNNNNNNNNNNNNNNNNNNNNNNNNNNNNNNNNNNNNNNNNNNNNNNNNNNNNNNNNNNNNNNNNNNNNNNNNNNNNNNNNNNNNNNNNNNNNNNNNNNNNNNNNNNNNNNNNNNNNNNNNNNNNNNNNNNNNNNNNNNNNNNNNNNNNNNNNNNNNNNNNNNNNNNNNNNNNNNNNNNNNNNNNNNNNNNNNNNNNNNNNNNNNNNNNNNNNNNNNNNNNNNNNNNNNNNNNNNNNNNNNNNNNNNNNNNNNNNNNNNNNNNNNNNNNNNNNNNNNNNNNNNNNNNNNNNNNNNNNNNNNNNNNNNNNNNNNNNNNNNNNNNNNNNNNNNNNNNNNNNNNNNNNNNNNNNNNNNNNNNNNNNNNNNNNNNNNNNNNNNNNNNNNNNNNNNNNNNNNNNNNNNNNNNNNNNNNNNNNNNNNNNNNNNNNNNNNNNNNNNNNNNNNNNNNNNNNNNNNNNNNNNNNNNNNNNNNNNNNNNNNNNNNNNNNNNNNNNNNNNNNNNNNNNNNNNNNNNNNNNNNNNNNNNNNNNNNNNNNNNNNNNNNNNNNNNNNNNNNNNNNNNNNNNNNNNNNNNNNNNNNNNNNNNNNNNNNNNNNNNNNNNNNNNNNNNNNNNNNNNNNNNNNNNNNNNNNNNNNNNNNNNNNNNNNNNNNNNNNNNNNNNNNNNNNNNNNNNNNNNNNNNNNNNNNNNNNNNNNNNNNNNNNNNNNNNNNNNNNNNNNNNNNNNNNNNNNNNNNNNNNNNNNNNNNNNNNNNNNNNNNNNNNNNNNNNNNNNNNNNNNNNNNNNNNNNNNNNNNNNNNNNNNNNNNNNNNNNNNNNNNNNNNNNNNNNNNNNNNNNNNNNNNNNNNNNNNNNNNNNNNNNNNNNNNNNNNNNNNNNNNNNNNNNNNNNNNNNNNNNNNNNNNNNNNNNNNNNNNNNNNNNNNNNNNNNNNNNNNNNNNNNNNNNNNNNNNNNNNNNNNNNNNNNNNNNNNNNNNNNNNNNNNNNNNNNNNNNNNNNNNNNNNNNNCCGACAAUAAUGAAUAUUAUAUCACCACUUGCUUAUUUAAAAUAUUUGCGCAUUUUACCCAUAACUAACCACAUUAAUCAAAUCCACCCUUACUAUUUCAAAAUAAUAAAUAAAGGAAAUUCCUUUUUAUUUAAAAAAAUUUCGGGGUCUUACAAAUAAGGUUGGUUCGGUUGAUAUAAGGAUGGUUCUUUAUAUCUUCGGUAGUGAUAAGGUUGGUUCGGUUGGUAUAAGGUUGGUCGUUUAUGUCUUAGAAAUGAAUUGAGGAGUGGGGCGAAAAUAUUGAGAGUCACAAGUUUCUGUUUGGCGUAUGGUGUUUGGGUGUGACAAAAUUUGUAUACUCUCUUAUUUAAGUUCCUUAUAAAUAAGAGACUGGGGGGCAAUGUUCGGAUGUGAUUAUUUGGGUCUAGCCAUGGUGCAACCGAGUCUAUUUAAUGGUCCGGAUCUGGUGAUGGCCCAUAUGUAUUUAUUGUGACAGUGGAGAGUCCUUAUUAAAAUAUGAUUGUGUUUCCUUAUUUGGUGGGAUAAGGAGGUUUAAUUAGGACUCCUACUCUUAAUUGGAUUCAGUAGUUAUAAGGUGAUUCUAGAAAAGAAGUCCUUCUCCUAGUUGGAUGCAGAUUGAGGUGACUUCUAUAUAUACGGCUACAAGUUAGGAUUUGGGGACAAGAUAGAAGAACACAAGAGAUAGAACACAAAUACACAACUUGUAUUCUCUAUAUUAUCAACUUGUACUCCCAAUAUUAUGAUAGUGGAUUACUCUCUCUCUCCGUGGUUUUUUUCCAAUUGGGUUUCCACGUAAAUCUUGUGUUCAUACUUUAUAUUCUUUUAUUUAUGCUUAUGUGAGUGCAUUUAACAAUACAAACAACCGUUAGCGCGAUUUUGGCCUGCUGUUUUGAUGAUUUCAUCAGGCGUACAAAAUUUGGCGUUAACAAACAUCAUUAUAUACAUUGUGGCAAUUUGCAUGCUUCCAAAUAUAUACUACUACAUAAUAUAGCUGACAAGAUCGAUGGAAGAGUAGUCUACAAUUUAAGAAUGAAUGAAUCAAUGAUAUGGGAUAUGAAUGAAUUUAAGAAUGAAUGAAUCAGAUGAAUCUAAAAACAAUAAAAAAAAUAGGGAUAUGAAUGAAUUAAUCGAUAUCCCGAGCGAGCUCCUACUAGGCCCUAGCUAGCAAGUUAGCAUUAGAAAAUACUACUAGUAAAUAGCAGAAUUAGGUUAUGCAUGUUGAAGAAAUGAGAAUGAAUGAAUGUUGCUGUCAAUUUGUUCCCCGCCCCGCCGCUUCUACAUUCCUUAACAAAACAAUUACUAGUAUUUAAAAGAGAUGUAGGUCUAUCCUAUAUAUAUCCGAACCGAAAGAUCCCAUUUCCAUGUGCAAAUCAAUCUCUCUGGCAUGUGCAUACUUCAAAAUGCAUAUGCAUAUGCUUAUUAUAUAUGGAGUCGGUUUUGUCUAACGAUUCAAAAUAUAAGAUCAUUAUUGAAUUUGUUGAACGGAAGAAAAAUAGUUUUCUUUUCCUUUAGCUUUUGGAAUGGAUAUUUUUUGCAUGUGAAACAUGGUCCCAACAAAUUAUCUUUUUAGCUCAGAAGUUGGACGGACGGACUGAUAUAUAUUAUAUAUAUAGAGAGAGAGUAAAGAAUGGAAAUGAAAAAUGGAAAAUUAUUACCUAUAUACAUAUAUGGAAACUGACCAACCUUUCCAUGUAGAUGUACAACUUAGUUACGGUGGAAAAGUAAUGUGAUCGAGAAAUCUUAGGGUUCACUCAACGUACGUAGUAACACCACCUACCUACAUAUCUCUUUAUCCAUAUAUAUAUAUAUAUAUAUAUAUAUAUAUAUAUAUAUAAAUAUUAUUAGGCUUCACAUUCAUUCAUUCUAUCUUCCUUUUAUCAUUUUCUUGAUCGAUCAACAACUUUUUUAGACUCCCACUCACCUCAGAUUAAAUAACACUUCAGCUCAUGUUUGUUUAUCAAAUAAAUUAUUAUGUCAAUCUCACGCUACCUACAAAUUAAUUAUUAAUAUAUAUAUAUAUAAUGAGCGAAUCUACGUACUUUUCUUUUUAUAUGUAUCAGCAGCAGUAGUAGUAGUAUUCUUUAAUUUUCCACCAAAGUUAGAGGAAGCGAGCGAGCAUGAUAAAGUAGGUGAAACUAACUCCUAAUUCCACCGAUUAGAUAAUGGAAUGGGAUGGAAUGGACUUCUAUAUAUAAUGAUUAUAAAUCGAUGGCCCAACAAUUAAUGUGUAAGCAUAUAUGGUGAGACAACUUUAAAGAUUACAAAUUGUUGGAAGUUGUUAGUAUAAAGUUUAUUUUAGGGUAAGUUGGUCAAUUAACUAAUAGAAUACUGACACACAAACGAGAUUGUAUGUGUGUCAGUAUUCUAUUAACCAAUUAAUCAAUUUACAAAAAAAAUAACGUUAUGCUAACCGGAUCCCAAAUUGUUGGAUAAUAUAAACUCAAUAAUACAUACAUACAUAGCAAAGGAAUGUCUUAAUUAGUUGCUACUACUUCUACUUUUAAUGGAAAUGGAACAAAGGGAGAAUAAUUAUGACCCCUAGUGUCCUGUCACAUGCAACACAACCGGUCCCCUUUAUUAUUGAAGCAUAGCCUUAUAAAUGAAUUGAGUUGAGUCGAAUCGAGUAUUGAAUUAUUCAGAUUUAUUUAUAAAAUUUAUUAAAUAUGAAAUAAGAUUUGAUUUUAAUACUCAUUUAGCUACGAGCUGUCAAGCAUGAUCUCAAAUCGUAUUUGAAUUUUUCAAACGAAUAUGAUUCGAGUAUCAAUAGAAAAUUACAAUUUAAAGAGGUUCGAGUAAUUUGUCAAAUUUUAAAUUUUAAAUCAUUUAUAUUUUGAAUAAAGCUCAAUCAAACUUUUAAUCGAAUGAAUACAAAAUCAAACCCACCGUUUAGUUAAUUUUACAGUUCCUACCUCUAGCGGCUGCAUGUAAUGUAUAAAGUAGAAUUAGGUUAAUCAUCAUAGUACGUAGUGAUUAGCUUCAUAUAUAUAUAUAUGAUGCCACAGUGGGAAAGAUCUGGUGGCAAAAUGUAGAAUUACUGUCUUAAGACUUGUUCGGUACAUUUGAGGAUUAAGUCAUUGAUUGCAGCCUUUGUUCAUAUAUCCGGAGAUACAUUGUAUAUGAGAUAAUUAAAUUGAAUAUUCUCAAAAAAACUUAAAUAUUUAAGACCCUUUCUCAAUGUUUAAUCAUUCGGCUGGCUAAGAGCCCAAGACUUGUGAAUUAAUAUACCAAAUUCUGCCGCUAAAAACAGCAAGCGUAGACAAAUGUACUAUCAAGUACUCCUGCUAUAUAUUAAGAAUUGAGAUUCCGAAAACCCCCUCCCUACAAAUUAGACAUGGUAAAUUACAAAUGUACUAUCAAGUACUCCUACUAUAUAUUAAGAAUUGAGAUUCCGAAAACCCCCUCCCUACAAAUUAGACAUGGUAAAUUUGACCCAAGUCCGCAGAUUGGGUCAGUCUGUCCGUCAAAAAACGGAUUUUGAACCGUAUUGUUUUAGCCUACAAAAAUUCAGACCGUUUUGCCCCGGCCUGUUUGGGCUAAGCCCAAAAAAAUAUCAAAAAUUAGGCAUAAAACAACCUCGGCCCGCCCGCAGAAAAAUAGGCUUACUAUUUGCGAAGGGUAAUUAACUCUUGGAACACCGAAGAGGCAAAUAACUCUUGAAAAGCUGAAGGGUCAAAUAACUCUUGGAAAACUGAAAGGACAAAUAACUCUUGAAAAACUGAAAGGACAAGUUACUGUUAAAACUCAUGAAUAGUAACUCAUGAAUAGUAACUCGUGAAUAGUAACUCCGACACGAAAAGUUUCCCAAAUACCCGAUUGAACAAUAUAACCUCCAGACAUCAAUUAUUAUCGAAAUAAAUGUCAAUUUUUACUAACACAAAUAAUUUCAACACAAUGAAACUAUCAAAUUCAUCUUUAAUCAACACGAACUUAUCCAUCAUUAAUAUCAUAACUCGCAAUAUUUAACAACCAGGUCGUUCUCAGGAAAGAGAGGGAUUUCCAAUAAGGAUUUCUCCCUAUUGGCGCGCAAUUAGGUGACAAAACCUCUCCUUGACAGAACUUCUAGACAUUAUAAAUAUUGCAAUUUAAUAAUAUGAAUAACUUUGUCGUCUCAAUUAUUGAUUUAAUAAUAUAACAUAUUAUGCACAUGAUACUGUAACAAUAAUUGGAUCAAUAAUAUGAGAGAUAUGAUGCAGCAAUUACUGUAGCAAUAAUGUAGUAUAACUGAGUGACUUCUUACGUAAGCAUCAAUAAUCAAUACCGUGUGCUACUAUGCAACCACGCGUAUUACUGUACUUUUACUACCGAGUAGUUCAACAGUAUUAAUGGUAAAACCUCCGCCGUUAUUUCCAUAAAAUAUUUUUGUCGUUUUCUAACUACGACAGUACUUCUGUUGUGGGGUCCACCAAUGAUUGUGUCGUCGUACGGAUAUUCCCGACAAAAAAAAUAUUCCCCGACCAAACGAAUAUUUAUAACAACUUGCAUACUUUGCAAAAUUUUCAAAUACUACCCACAACUAUAACACUAUCUCAAAUCCACACCAUAAUAUAAAAAAAUAUUUCGAGAAAUUUAAAUCUUUAUUUAGAAGAUUUGCGUACGAAUAUUCCCCGACAGUAAGAAUAUUCCACGACCAAACGAAUAUUCUCCGAUAAAAAAUAAAUAUUUUAUAUCCACUUGCUUAUUUGAAAUAUUUGCGCAUUUUACCCAUAACUAACCACAUUAAUCAAAUCAAUCCUUACUAUUUCAAAAUAAUAAAUAGAGGAAAUUCAAUUUCAUUUAAUAAUAAGUUGGGGUUUUACACACUAGCGAAGUAUUUAUUCGUUUCUCCUCUCCUAGUUCUAUUCCCCGAUCUCCGCCAGAGAUCAUAUCCCUAAGCUCUGAUACCAACUGUGACGCCCCCAAAAUAGGUAUACAUCACCCAUUUUGAGUCGUUAAUAACAUGGUAUAAAAACAACUACAACUUUAUUAAUACAACAUAUAAACUGUGAGUUUAAAUACAAAUAUUGCCAUCUAGACAAUAUUCACACCAAAAUAAAUCUUCAUUAUAAUUAUUGGUACAUUAUUUUACAAAAAUGGUGAGAACUACUAAAACAACUUUCUAGAACCAUCAUUUCACACCCCGACUAGAACUCGCUACAUUCUCGCCUCCUUAGAAGAAAAAUAGAACAAAAAAGAAAAGGGUGAGUUCAACUAGCCCAGUAAAGAAUAUUAUGACUAAGAUAAUAUAGAACAAACUAUCAUUAGUCUUCAACAGAAAAAAAAUCUGAUAAAAUACAAUAGACAACAAAUUUCAGAUCAAUAUUCGCAACGUAAAUAAUAAUUCAUAUAUGAGUUACGUAGAGAAUGAAAUCUACUAUAAUCUAUGAAUUUAAAAGUCCAUCAUCAAUAUUUUAUCCCUGUAACAUCAAUCAAUAUUCAUCUUAAAUCAAAUAUUUAUCUUUGCACUACAUGCCAAAGAUAUUCAUCAGUUGGUCAUGUUCAUCUCAACACUUGUUCAUCUUUGCACUACGGGCCAAAGAUAUUCAUAAGAAAAUCAUUAAUCUUUGCACUACAGACCAAAGAUAUUCGGUAAUAUCAUCAUUUAAGACUGAGGAUGAUGAAAAAUAUUUUGAAGAAAACGAAUCCAGUGAAAUAAAAGAACAAAUAUUAAGGAUUCAUACUUUACACAAUCCGAGUUCAAAAAUACUUCAUAAUAAUCAUAGUGAAGUAAAAUUCAAGAAUGAUCAAAACAUGGAUACAAUCAAAGCUAGUAUCCAUAAUAGAUAUCUUGGAUAAAAACGAAAAAUUUAGUUUUUCUGUAAAUAGUGUCGUAUUCGUGAAUAGUGCCGUAUACGUGAAUAGUGCCGUAUACGUAAAUAAUAACCCCGACACUAAAAGACAAGAAUUUCACAAGAAAAAUCUUACCAAUAUUCUAGCAUAAUGAUAUUAGAAGAAAUAAUAUCAUUUUUAAAAAAAAAAUAUCUCUUACCUCGAAAAGACAGUACUUCUAGCUGGAAUACCGGAUAUAGUGCUGAAGGGAAUUUGCACCGUAUAGCAACACUCAAGGUAUUAAAAUACUCACAAGAAUACGCUCGAUACUAUAGAGAGAGAAAACUUUAGUUUCUGGUGUGACUUUCAAUUCUAACCUAAGCACCUUAUUUAUAGAAAAAUGCUUAGAACACCAAAGUAAAAAAUUUAAUAAAAUAAUAUAUUUAUAAACUAAAUUCCUAUGCACACCACCAGCUGAUUUCAACCACUUAACACAUGUUCCACAAAUGAAAAAAACAUUUUUCUUAAUUAAAAUAUUUUAAACUUCAAAAAUUAAUUAUUCUGGAGCUUCAGAACUUCAAUAAUUCAUAAAAAUAGCCCUUUUACUUAUCAGAAAAAUUCGAACCUUAUGUCCUUUUCAUAAGAAAUUCCAUUCUCUACAAAUUUGCAGAAGAAAGUUUUUCUAAAUUCCAAACAGAAAUUGACCGAAAUCCACAAACGGACGAUUUUACAUGCUAUAAUCAAAUUUCAGUCAAGAAAUGGGCCCACAAACAUGUUUAACAUGUUUUAACAAUUUUUAGUGACAAAAAUACUCUUCCUCCUUAUUUAUUCAUAUAUCCAACAUUCAUUGUAAAAAUAUCACCAUUAUUAUAUUAUUAAAAUAUAAUAAUAUAUUUAAAUGAAUUAUUUUAUCAAAAAAGAUAAAAUAUUAAUUUUCAACAAUUGUCACAUUAAAAAUUUUCUCCAUCUAUAUCCACAUAAAAUGAAUAUUUUCCUUAUUAUAAUAAGUAAUAAUUAAUUAUUCACAAAUAAUAUUACAGAAUCACAAAACCGACAACCAAGCUGUUCCCAGGAAAGAAGGGGCUUUCCAAUAAGGAUUUCUCCUUACUGGCGCGCAAUUAGGUGACCAAACCUCUCCUUAGACAGACCUUUCUAGACAUUGCCACUAAUGUUAUCUAAUAAUAUUAUUCAAAUAAUAUGAAUUAUUGAUCUGAUAAUGAAAAUACUGUGUAGUGACAAUUAUUGAAACAACAAUAAUAUAAAAUAUCAACGUAGCAAUUAUUGAAUCAAUAAAAUAAAAUAUUAAACAGUAAUUACUGUAGCAAUUAUUGAGUAGUGCCUUCUUACGUAAGAAUCAAUAAUUGGUGCAAUACCGUGUGCUACUGUGUUUUAACGGUAACACCUACGCCGUUAUUUAUAAACAACUUAUACUUGUCAUUUUCUUCAUCCAAUCGUUUUUCGUUAUUGGGCCCACACAAGGCAGCGCCGUCGUACGAAUAUUUCCCGACAGUAAGAAUAUUCCACGACCAAACGAAUAUUCUCCGAUAAAAAAUAAAUAUUUUAUAUCCACUUGCUUAUUUGAAAUAUUUGCGCAUUUUACCCAUAACUAACCACAUUAAUCAAAUCAACCUUUACUAUUUCAAAAUAAUAAAUAUAGGAAAUUCAAUUUUAUUUAAUAAUAAGUUGGGAUCUUACACAAACCCUGUUUAGUCAACCAAUGUAUACUAAGCAAAUACAAGGUAACCAAAAUAACAUAAAAAAGUAACCAAAAUUCCAAAUUGAGGGAACAAGAAUGGUAUCCAAAUCAUAAGUUAACAGUAACAAAAAAAAUACUAAAAGAAGUAACCAAACAGUUAUAUGUUAGUAACCAAAACUUAUUUUAAUGGUAACCAAAAUAUAAACAAACUUUCCCUUCAUUUCCACAACAAACUUCUUCAAGUCCUUAACAGAAUCACCCUCCGUGAUUCUUUUCCUCUUUCCAUCCUUCUUCCUUGUAUCAACCAUUUUAUACAAAACAUAAAAACAACACAAACCCAAACAAUCAAUACUCUAUUCUGUUAGUAAACAACUUUAAUAGAUAAUAUAUUAAACUGUUUAGAAAAUACUCACUUAAAACAAUAAUAAACACCAGAAUCGAUCAAUGGAGAAGAAGAAACCAACUAAACCACUGUGCAACAGCAAUAAUGAGUAACAACGACAAUGACGAACAACUAAACGAAGAUGGCGAACAACUAAACGAAGAUGAUAACGAGUAACGAUCACGAAAAUGUAGAAUAAAUCACCGAAAACGAUCAAUAGAGAUGAAGAAGGCACGAACAGAAGAGAGAAAGAAGAGAGAAACAAGGGUUCAAUAUACAGAACAAGGGUUUGUAACUGAAGAGUCCAAAAUCAAAUGAUAGAUGGCAGUUAUCACACGUUUCAAAAUAAACCAACCCUAUUUUAAGAUGGACACUAAUUUGUCAUGUCAGUCCAUUAAUAUUAAUCCCUUAAAUUAAGAAUUCCUAAUUGUAUUAGUAUUAUAAAUAAAUAUGAUAAAAUGUCAUUUUUUUAUAAUUAUUUUAUAGAUAUAUAAUUAUUGUAAUUAUUUUUAAAAAUUUACUAAUAUAUGUAAUUUAUCCUUUUGUUUUUGUGGAUAGGAUAGAAUGUUUCAAAUAUAGUUUAGCAAUUGGCAAAAUGAAGGUAUGCAAAUGUACAACCUGACAGGCCUGCACAAACCCAUAUAUUUGACUAGUGGUAUGUCUUUAAUAAUGUAUAGCAAGUAUAACUAGGAUAGUUACUAUAAAAGGCUACUUAUCCAAUUUUCAAGUUGUAGUACCACAGAAACUUGCGAAGUCGCUGCACUCGAUCUUCUUUUCUAGGACUGGAUGGCCUUGUAAUUAAGUUCAAGCCGAUCCCAUUUGAAUGAUAUAGAAUACUACUUUAUGAGUAAGUUCAUAAGAUGAGAAAACAGUUCAGAUUCUAUUUAUAUUUAUUUGACUAAAAGUUUUAUUCGAUUUCGACUUAAAAAAUAAAUAAUUUAAAUACGAACAAAUUUUAAAAUUUGAUAAACUACUUAAAUCUUUUGAAAUUCUUAUUUUCUAUUGAUACUCGAAUUAUAUUCGUUCGAAAAGUUCAAACUAUUCGGGCUCUAUUCGAGAUUAUACUCGACUCGGUAAUAAAUGAAUCUCAAUCAAACCUUAUCUUAGAUUCAAUAAAUUUUGUGAACCAAAUCUAAACAAUUCAAUACUCGGCUUGACUCAAUUAGUAGUUGUAAUAUUGUCAUGUCAUGUAGUUUAAUUGCAUUGAACCAAUUAAAUAUAUCACCACAAUUUCAAAUUAAAUUUUUAUUUUUAAAAAUUACUAUAAACAUAAUUAAUUACCUAAGAUUAUUAAAAGAAGUCAUAAAAUAAUUUUUGUAUUUAAAUAAUUAAAUAGCUAUAUAUUAUAUCCAAAUCUCUAGCUAUCCCCCAUAGAAGAAGAAAAAAUUAAAUGGAAAAACUUCAAAUAUUGAUUAAAUUGAGAUUGCUAUUUGCAUUGCAUGAAUAACUUUAUGGUAAGUUGAUUAAUUGAUUAAUAUUAUACUGAAAUGCAAAGAAAAAUCACUUUUUUUUUUUAUAUGUGUAUCGACAUUAUAUUAAUCAAUUUAUCAAAAUUAACUUCACGUUCCAUGUACUGGGACUAGGAAGGAAUAGUAUUUAUCCACCCAGAGAGACACAUAAAUCUUGUGUGCAGGCAGAUUUUGAUUUUCUCACAGGCUUUAACCGAUCAUCAACACAUGACAGACGACGACACCCCCGCCCUCUCUUGCUCCAUGAGGAUUGAGGGGGGAGAAAAUGGUCCAUUUAACAAAUAAAGCAAGGGCAAAAAGGUCUUAAAAAUAACAUCCGAUUUGCUUAAUAGUAUCAUGAAUGCCGCCACGUCAGGUGUUAGUGGAGGAAGAGUGAGGGGACAAAUGUCUCAAAUAGGUCCGCCAUAACAGCCUAACUCAUGAGAACCAGCUCCCACGUUGUCCACUCCUUUUUUGGUUCCUCUGAUCCUCGACCUCUAUCUCUAUCUAGGGUUUCAUUCCUCUUCUUCCUCCUCCUCGGAAUUGAUUAGUAUAAAAUUUAUUUUUAAAUAUAUCGAUCAAUUAAUUAAUAGAAUAUCGUUAUUCAGACGAAAUUUUAUAUAUAUUAAUAUUAUAUUAAUCAAUUAAUCAAUUUAUUAAAAAAUAAAUUUCAUACUAAUCGGAUCUAUCCUCCCCCUCCUAUACUAUUUCAUUUUUCAGAUGAAUGAGAGAGAAAAAAAAGAAACAAAAAUAAAUAUCAAUUACAUUCAUAAUGAAUUCCAUGUAAUAGUACAUUAAUGAAAUUUUGUCUUUUUAAAAUUUAGUUGGAUAUCAAUUAAAUAUAUUUUUGAAGAUAAAUUAUUUUAUGUUUAAUUAUUUAUUUUAUAUAAAAGAAUUAUAGUGUUCACAAAAACUCGUCUCAUUUGAAUGUGAAAUUAAUAAACAAGAAAAACUUUUUAAAAAAUACUAAUAAUUCUAUUAAUAUACUAAUUCUCAUACUAAAUAUGUCACUCCUCACCAUCCUGGGCCAUGGUCCCACCAAGGGUCACAUGCUAGUGUCAGACCGGAGCCCACACACACCACACACGCACAGUCCACCGCCCCGAAUAUAUCUUACCUGGCUACAGCUCUGCAUAUCCAUCCCUGUUUCCCAUCAUUUUUGCGCCGCGUGUUUCUCACAUUCAAUUAUAGAGCGUAACAUAAAAAAUCCAACGACCUAGGGUUCCCUCCCUUCUCUCUUAUAAGAAAAACACUUUAUAUAUACACUGCCUCCUUUCGAUUUUGCUCUCUCAUCACUCUAAAAUUUUCAAACUAACUCUCUGCACCGCUGUGUUCUCCUCCUCCUCCUCCUGGGCCCUGAUAAAAGCAGCAGAGGUGGUGGGGGUUAAUAAUAAUAAUAAUUCAACCUUAAAGAAUCAGCAACCCCAUCACACACACAUGGUAAUCAAAGCUUUUCUUUCUAACUGUAUAUCAUAUUUUGUUUUUAAUUCUUUCUGUUUAUAUUUACCUCCCGUGAUUUCUUCAGAUGGCAGAGGAUUUGGACGACGGAGAGUUUUGGCUUCCCCCUAAAUUUCUUUCUGAAGACAACUUGCUCAUGGAAUUUAGUAAAAUCGCAGAGAAGAACAACAAUGGAAAGCUUUUUGGGGAAAACAAUGGCGGUUAUGAUUUCUCAUAUGGGUUUGGGUUGUACGGGCCCAACUCGGAUCUGAGUUCUCCCGUUGAGUCUGUAGUGGGUUCAACGGAGACUGAGAGUGAUGAGGAAGAGUACCUCUCUGGGUUUAGUCUGAAACUCGCUCAGUCUACUCUUUCUGAUGAUUUGUGGAAAGCAGACCAUGGUUUGGGAUAUUAUGAAAAGACCAAGGUACUUAUUAUCGCUAAAUUCAUUUUUUGCUUUUUAAUUGUGUUUAUUAGAGUUUUUUUCUUUCUAAUUUUGGGUUUUGUUUGUACAGUCCUCGAGCAUGGCAACUUCGCCUCAAUCGACCCUUUCCAAUGUUAUGGGAAGUGGAUGUGGAUGUAAGCAGCAGGGCUCUAGCCGAGGAAGCCCCAACUGCCCUUCACCGCCACAGUCUGCGGCGGUGAUAGGCAAAAACGAGACAGCUUGGGAACUUCUUUACGCCGCCGCAGGGGAGGUGGCUAAGAUGAGAAAGAUUGAAGCAGGGGCUGCUGCUAAUGGAUAUAACCGUAACAGAGCUCAUUUGAGUGCACCUCGAAAGCCCAGUCCCAUCUCUGUCCCUCUGCAAACUCCAAAUCUCGGAUUCCAUUCGAAUCAGUCUCUCAUAUUACGGCAGCAGCUCCAAGCUAACCAAGUAAGCUUAAAGUCCUUAAUCUUGCAAAUGUUUGAUACAUGUCCUCAAAGAACUGGAGAAACUAAUUUUUGCCUUGGAUUUCAGUUUCAGCAGUUGAAGCAGCAACAAAUGAUGAAACAGCAGCAGAGUCGACUGGAUUGGGGACUUCAGAUGGUUCAUCAGAACAGGGCUAGAAAUGGUAGUAAUGGGCGUCCACUGGGUUUAUCCCCCUCUGCUUGGCCUACUUUGCAACAAUCCCAGCUGCAACAGCCGACGCCGCAGCAGCCUGGCUCAGGGAUGAGGGCUGUAUUUCUAGGAAAUCCAGGCGCCAAACGUGAAUGUUCCGGUACUGGUGUUUUCUUGCCUCGUCGAGGCGGCACCCCUACUGAAACUCUUAAGAAGCCAGGUCUAUUUUCUCUCUCAUAGCUUUAAAGUUGGAUGAAUCUAUUGUCGGUUUCAUGUUUGGAUUUUUGUCAAUUUUCAACUGUUUUCCAGUUUCUUUGUUUUUUAGGGUUUAGAACACUUGAUAUUUGGAUGGUGGGGUUGGGUAUAAUGUUUAUUCUGAUUUUCACUGCUCUAUCCUUGACCCAGAUCUGAUUAAAAAAAAUUUGUUUUAUACUACAGGAUGUUCAACGGUCUUACUUCCCGACAGAGUGGUCCAGGCUCUGAACCUGAAUUUGGAAGCCAUGGAUGCUCCACCCCAGCUUCAGAUUCGAUCUAUUAGCAAUAAUACUUUGUUCUCUCCUAACUAUGGUAAGAUUUCCCCCUUGUUUAUAACUUGCACUGUAUUGUGGUUGGGUAAAUUUCUUCAACAAUGUUGAUUAACUUGUUUUCUUUAUUUGCCAAUUUUUAGAUGCAGCUAUGAAAUACCGAAACUAUGUCCUUAUGGCACAAGCUCAGCAGAGACGAAACGUGGCCCGGCCGCAGCCGGUGCAUAUGAAUAACGAGGCCCAGCUUCCUCAGGAGUGGACUUACUAACCCAUUUGACUUUUUUUGAGUUGGGGUGGGGGUUUUUCUAUAAUAGAUGUUUACAAAGGAGAAGAAAUGGAAAGGAAAGGAAAGAAGUUUGUUUUAUUAGGUUUGUGAUAGUGAGAUGUUUUAGUGGGAAAGUAUAGAUGGGAAAUAGAAAUAGUCCGAGGAGGAGGAGGAGGAGGAGGAGGAGGAGAAGAAAGGGAAAGGUUUUUUGGUUAGUGGUAGGGGAAAAGAAAAAUAAGGAAUUGCAAACAGCAGCUAGCUUUUUGUUGAUCACUUCAUCUUUGGUUGGGUUGGUUCAAAGAUUCAGGAGAGAAGAAAUUGGUGGAUGGCAGUUUCUCUUUUGUUCUCUGUUGGAAUUUAAAUAAAAUACGAAGUACUAGUAAAAUAGGGUUCUUCUUUUGGAGUUUUGAGGGUCUUGUUAUUUUUUGUUUGAAUUACAUCCCUCUCUUUUAACGUCAUAUUAUUAUUAUUAUUCUCAUUUCCCAUAGUGGUGGGUUUAUUAUAGUGUAAAAUGAGAAUGGCAAGUUUGUUUUGUAGAAAAUGAAUUCCAACCCGUCCACCACCUUGGCUGGAAUUAUCAUUAUCAUAUCAAGUAGUCUUGCAGCAAGUAUUUUUAGUACUACUUGUUGUCCUGAUACAACAGCCUACGUUGCCUUGUAUUGCUUGCUCUGCUAUUUUGACUCCAAAUUUUCUGUCUUAUUAUGUCACUUAUAUUUUAAUAUAAUAUGUCUUUUUAUUUAAUUUUAAAAUUAAUUAAUGUUAAAUAAGAGAUUAGUUGUCAAAAUAUAAGUAGAGGGAACAGAGUAUCUGUUUUUCAUUCUGGCUUAUUAUUGGAAUUAGCAAAGCCCGAAACAGGGCCUUUUUCCAUUGAUAAUUUGGGGAAUGUGCAGUGUUUCAUUAAUAAUGUCAUUUUAUUAUUAUUAUUAUUGAGAAUCAAAGGCAUUAGUGAUCAAGUGCUGGCGUGCGUGCCUUCUUCUCUUUGGAAAGGGAAUGGAAGCGAAGAUGAUGCUCAUCAACUUUUACUUUGCCCAAGGCACAUUGCAUUUGGAAGUCUUAUGUUUUACACUUGCAUAAAUGAUAAAAAGGUAAAAUGACGCAUUUAGGGCAGCUUAUUUCAGAUGCUGCUGACGAUGAUAUAUUAAUUUCAAGUUUAUUUUGUACAAAAGGAAUCUAAAAUGGUGUAAAAAUAUAAAUAAAUAAUUAACUUCACAUGUAUAUAUAUCUUAUUGACACUUAAUUAUAUUUUUUAAAAAGCUACAUUAUCAAUUUUUUUUAAAGAAAAUGACUAAAUUGUUGUUCUAUCUUUAGGGGGUACAAGGAUUAUUAUGGGAAAAAAAAUUUGUACAUGGAUAAAAUUGAAACCAACUAUAGAGUAUAGAAUACAAGGACCAAAAUAAUUGUUUAGCCCUUAAUUUCACAUGAAUCAAAUAAAGAGGAAAUAAAUUCACUUUUUUUUUGAUACCAUUUGAAUUACAAGAUUACAUAAUUAUUGUUACUUCAUUGUGAAGGUAGAGGGUUUUGUGAGCUGCGUAUGUGCGAGAAGUUCUCGCCGGUACAACCAUAAACUCUUACUACACACACUGUAUCGGGAUCGAAAUGCAAAAUUCUCGGCAAGUAAAAUGUAGGAUGUAAUUACUUGAUAUGAAUGGUGAUUGAAUCUAAAUUUUGAGUAAGAUAACUACUAGGUCAACAGAUAGUUGAAUAUAAGAUUCUAACAUGUAAAAAUAGAAAGAUAGUUAUGUUUGAAUGAGUCGCAUAAAAAUAUCAAAGUCUUAUAACUUUAAAUAUACUUAUUUAUUAUUAGAGAAUAUAUUUGGAUGGAUGGGGUAAGUGUAAGAAUAUGAGUACAAUUUGAAGAUAGAAAAGAAUCGAAUAUAAGACGUAAGCUAAUCGCGUACCAAGGUUUCUAAUUCAACUCAGCUCCUUGCAGCACUAGAAUUGAUAGGUCUACUCAAUUCUAUAUAUAUGAACUCAGAUUCUACAAAUAAACUUUGACUUUCUCUGCAAUGUCUUUUCGCAAAAGAGUAUAGUCUCAAUUAUUAUGCACAUAAAUACAAGUAGUAGUAAAAUGAGUACGACAAAGGAAUUUUCCCGUUAUACGCAAUACUCCAAACACAUAUUUCUUCUUACAAAACAAAACAAUUUAAGACAUACUUAUGGUUAAAGACAAAAUUUUAAUUUUAGUUAAAGGCAAAAUGAGUUUUCUUUUCAAUUUAUUUGAAAAUCGAUUCCAACCGUUCAAUUUGAUAAAAGAACGAACCAAACCCUUCAAUUUGGAGGCAUAUUGAUUUUUAGGCUUCGUAUAAGUUGUAUUUCUGUUUUGAUGGCGAGAAGAGUGGUGUUUUACCUAAAUACCCUCUUAUUAAAACUUUCAGCUGAAGAUUUGGCGUCAGAAAUUAGACUUAGGAUGCAUUUAAUCGAAAAAAUAACUUAGGGUGCAAAUCGAUUUUGGGGAAAAAAUUUAGGGUGCAAAUUGAAUUUUAGUCGUCUAAAUUCAGCGGCGAUGAAAAAGUCUUUGAAUUCAACGAUCAGUCUCUAAUAAUCUUCGACCUCUCUCCCACCUACUCUCAAUCGGUCUACCAAUUUGCAGGUAUUUGAAGCUUAAAACUCCAUUGCAGUCUGUAAUUAUCACCUAGGGGUUUCCGCCCCUUCACAAAACCUACUCUAUAAAUUUCAGCUUAGAAUUCUAGGCCGAUAUUCAAGAUUGCUGGUUCAGAAAAAUGUCUCCAAUGGCGGUCGAUGAAAAUGGUGAGCACGAAUACAAGCCGCAGAAGAAGAAAACUGAUGAAAAUGAAGAGAAAAGGUCAGUCUUUUACUUCAGUGAAGUCUAAGCUGCGUACAAUUAUCCCGUCCCACAAAAAGAGUCUUAUUCGACUCUGAUCCUAGUUAAAAUGCUGUGAAUUUAUUUUAAUUUUCGAAAUAACAAUUCUUUCUUAGUAAUAGUUUUUAAGCAAUUUACAAUAUUAACUACAUUAAUCAAAAUCAAAUAGACAUCAAUUUUAAAUUAUAGGCUUUCACAAAUUGACUAGGAUAAAAAAUCGAAGGGGACUUUUUCUGUGGGACAGAGGGAGUAUAAUAUAAAGUGUGUGCUUAUUUCUUAUUUGGAUGAAUAGGAAAAUGAAGAUUGUGCCUGGAAGUUUGAUGAAAGCUUUAAUAAGGCCUGGUAGCAGCGAACCUACACCUACUGAUGGUGAUCAGGUCAUUAGCCUGCCGUAAUCAUUAGUUUAUGGAUAUUUCAUCAUAUGACUCGUAAAUUUGAUUUAAUCUAUUUUAUUGUGUAUUACUAAUCCAAGUGUCUAAAUUUGUCCCUUGAAAUUGAUCAACUGUUCAGCGUCCAUAAAGUUUAUGAUAUUUAAGCAUGAAGGAGAAAUUGACGUGGUAUUUUGUAACCUUGCCUUGUUUUACACAGGUUAUAUAUCAUUGUACUAUCCGCACACUAGAUGGAGUUGUUGUUGAGUCUACUCGUUCGGAAUUUGGUGGUGAGUUCUAAGUAUUAACUUUGUUAUUGCUUCUCCAUUGGAUGCAAUAUUUUGUUCUACCUAAAUCAAAGGGUAGGCAGACUGAUGCUAUGAGGCCUUGAAUGUAAUUGACUACUUUCAUUUUGUUGAGGUGGUAGUAUUCAUCCUUUAGGUAUGAGCAUUGCAUUGAAUUUUAUCCAAAUGUUCUCAAUGUUCUAAAAGGCGUUAGGCGGGAGGCGGACGGCCGUGGGGGCCUAGCGCCUAGGGGGCCUAGGCGGGGCUUGGGCGGGGCCUAGGCGGGAAUUUUUAUUUUAAGUCAAUUUUAAUAUUUUUAUCUUACAUUUAUUCAAACAAAAUAAUAAUAUAUAGCAAAACAGUCUAUAAGAUAAUAAAAGCCUUUGCUUAAAGUUCAAACAUAUAUCCAUAUUGUCAAUGUCAAAGUUCAAACGCAAACAUGCAAUUGUUGAAAGUUCAAACAUAUCUUUAACAUAUUAGUUUUAUUCAUAAACAAGAUUGCUAUUAAAUAAUAAAAUUUAAAAUUCAAGAAUUUAAUUCAAUAUUAAAACUUAAGAAAUUAAACAUAAAUUUAAGAAUUAUAUUGAAUUAAACCAAAUAUUACAAAUGUAUCAUCAUUUAUAUAAUUUGAAGUUGGUACAAGUUCAAAAAAUUACAACUAUAAUAAAAUUAUUCAUUUUGACUUGAUAUUGUUCACUACUUGUUGUGAUUUGAUAUGCUACAAUAUGCAUUAUGAAUAUGGUAAAUCAUUAAAAAAAUAAAUAUAUCAAGAUCUGAUUUGAGUAGUUAUUAAAAUAAAAAAAAACUCUCCGCGCCUAGACCUCACCUAACUCGUCUAGGCCCCGCCUAAUUUUCUAGAGGGAUUUUUUGCCGCCCUGGGCCUGAGUGAGGCGCCAGGGGGCCUAGAGCCUAGGCGGGGAUUUUUAGAACACUGAAUGGUCUUCAUAUACUAGCCUAUAAACUGAAUAUUCCACCACUGCAUUAUUAAAAGAGUGCUUGAGAACUUCUAUACUUUACUUAUUUGCUUAUAUAGAGAAAUUCAAAGACAGACUUUUGUAAUAGUUAAGAUAUUUUAGCUUCUAAAAAGUUGGAGCCGUUGACUCAAUCUCAUCAUUUUUCCAUAUGUUGCAAAGUUCUGCCCUUUAUAACUGUAAAUUCUUUAAUAUUUCUUUGAAAUAUACAUAACGCACUACAUUUUUGUUCAAGAUAUAAUAAAUUUUGACACAAUUUUGGCAGAAACACAUGGUUCUACUUUGGUGAUUUUCCAUGUUAGAAUGUGGAAAGUCUUUUGAUUAAUUAUUUUAGGCUGCACUGAUCACACUUCAGUGUUCACUCUGUAUGUGCUAUAUUUACAGGUUUUCUAAUAUCUGUAAGUCCUAGUUUUAUACUUUUCUAUGUUGUUAUUUAGCUUUUAGGGGUGAGACAUUUCAGGUUAAUUAUGUUUUUUGGAACUUUUGCCGGUUGUUUCAAAUUCAUUAAUUGAUACUUUUUUCCAAUUCAGUUUUUUUUCCCUUUCUCUUUUUUCCUUAUUCAUUGAUGUUACAGGCAAGGGUAUCCCAACAAGGCAUGUUUUGGGUAAAAGCAAAAUGAUAUUGGGGUUGCUAGAAGGUAUUCCCACAAUGAAGAAGGGUGAAGUAGCUAUGGUAAUUAUUUGAAUAUGAUAUUUGUUGAUAUGAAAGUCGGAAAUACUUUGAGUUGUAUAGGAAAAUCUUAUUGUAUUCUAUUUGAUCAUUUUGGAGCUUUUGCCUUAGCAUGCUAAGAUCUUUUAAAUUUCAAAUAAAAUUUCCACAUCAAUCGCUCAGUUAUUUAGUUUUCACAUUUUCAUGGCUACAUGCCAGAUUAUAGAAACAAGCUGCUGUUAUACAUUAUGUAUGCAACCGUUUUCAGUGGGAUUACAGGCAAAUAUAUUCAACCAAUUGCCUCAAUACGUUUAAUGGAGCUAAUUUGACAUUUUCCGUAACAUUGUUUAAGCUACUAAGUGAACCAGUUUCUUGAUAUACCAAGUGAAAAGGCUGAAUGAGUUGCAUAAAGUGGUAAUCAAACAGCUUAACAAAUAUUGGCUCAUGUGCGUGGGUUUGCCCCCUUUUGGCGCUUAUAAUGGACUUGUUAACUAAUGAAAAAACCCUCAAGAUUUUGGUAUAUGAUGGAAUUUUUUGGUGCUUAACAUAACUUUUGAUGCCUCUUGUUUCAGUUCAAGAUAAAACCGGAAUUCCACUAUGGUGAGGAUGAUUGUCCUGUUUCAGUUUCUGAUGCCUUCCCAAAGGACGCUGAACUUCAUUUUGAGACUGAGAUGAUUGAUUUCUCUAAAGUGAAGGCAAGAAUGUUAGAUUCACUUGCAUAAUUUUCUUAUAUUUAGUUUUGGAUUUAUUGAAUCUUGCCCUUUUAUGUCAUUUCUGCCCCUCUAAUUAGGGUCUGAUUUUAACUUCCAAAUACUGCCCUCUUUAUCUUUAUUUUGUGGAAACUUAUAUGUUAGGUUAUGUUUAUUUAGAAACACAAAAUAUAUAGUGAACAUAAAUUAUAUUAAAAAAAGGGUAUUUUUUAAAUAAAUUUUUCUUGAUCAAUUAUGCCCAUACGUCUCUAUUUAUUUUUUCUGUUAUAUAUUCUUGAUGCAAGCAUCCUAAUGCAGACAAACAUCUAAUGCAGACAAACAUCUUCUUAGUUCGAAACGUUAAAAAUAAAGGCACACACUUCUCGUUUUUUUGUGUUUUUUCCGUUUUCGGCUGAAUCUCCGGUUUUUAAUGUGCUUUUCUGUGAGUUUACGACUCAAACUUUUCUGUAGUCGUUGAAAGCUGGACAUAGUAUUGUUUGGGUUUCAAUCCCAAAGUAGGUCAUACUUUCACUGCUUCAAUUGGGGGGAGGGGGAUUUAUGGCUUGGUACUUGAGAUAAACUAAAAAUUGUUGUUACACAUAUUGCUUUAUCAUUCUGUUUCACUGGAUAUUGUUAUCUUGACUAAGUUAAUUAUUGUUUUCCUUAUGUUGUUGCGUUUUACUUUCUGUUCCUGUAUAUCUGCAUUGCUUAUGUUCAGAUGUAUGGUUCUUCUCAUUGUUUAGGAUCAGAUAUAUACUUCUUCAAACAGUUAUUUAUUAUAAUCCUUACUUAGUUUUAACCUUGAAUAUGUGUGUUUCCAUUUCCAGGUCGUCAGUGAAGAUUUGGGAGUUCUAAAGAAGGUAUUUAAAUCUAUGACAAAAUGCUUCAUGACUGUAUUGAAGUUAUUUUUUUUUAUUUGGGUUGUUUUUGGCAAUCGUAGUGUAGGGCUUAUGGGGAGUGUGAGAGUUGUCCGUAUGUUUAGUCUUUGAACUACAUUGAUGCACAUUUUUUGCUUCAUGCAAAUUUCUAUUCUUUGUUUUUUGUUGGAUGUUGAAGUGCUUAAGAGUAUGUUAUUAUCCAAAUAUUUUGUUUGAAAUGAAGAAAGGUGAUAUUUACUUUAUUAAAAUUACAUAAUUAAAGAAAUAAUAAAACAAUUAGGUUAGCCUUUUGUCCUUGGUGAAUCACGUGCAUGGGCAAGGAUCUGUGGGUUUACCUUGUGCAUGCCUGAAGGGUAGCGGUUGGGAGUUCCUCUAUUACCAGAAAAUGGUGUAUGUCAAGGAUAAUAUAUUUCUUUUCUUCAUGUGUAAUUUAAGAAUGUUGCCAACCAGUUUAAUGCAAUCUGAAACAUAUGCUUCAUAUCAAUAAAUUUUGAUUUAGUGAACGUUAAGAAGCAUGAGAAGAAUACGUGGAACAUAUUGGUAUCAGUCAUCAGUUUGCAUGUAAGUUAUUGGAAGGAGCAAGUAAACUGAAGUUUGAGUUAUGAAGUAUUCUACUAGUGCUAAUACUAUCUGUAGGAAUUAUGUGCCAAGUGUAUGUAAAACAUGCAAAUAAUAAUUGUCCGGCAUUUCCUAUAUAGGUUAUGGAUGAAGGACAGAGUUGGGAAUUACCAAGGGAACCUUGUGAAGUAAAAGUUUGGUAACAAUUUUUUUUUGGUUAUUUGUCUUUGCCUUUUACUUUAUGUUAAUAAUGGACUUAACUACAUGUAUUCUUAAUUAACUAUAACAUUGACUAUAUCCAUGAUUGUUUCUAGGAUUUCUGCGAAAACAGGGGAUGGAAAAUUGAUUCUAUCACAUACACAAGGAGAACCAUUUUUCUUCACCCUUGGAAAAUCUGAGGUUGGUAAGACAUUUUUGUUUCUUCUUAUUCGAUCUUUCCCUUUUUCUUAUUUGUCCCUUUUCUCCUUAUAAAAUACUUUAUUUGUUCCAAAAAUAAGAUCAUUAUUAAUUUUUUCAAGUCAAUUUAAGACAUUUUUGAACUUGAAAAUGACAUGGACUCCAAUAAUUUUAGUCAAUACAACGAUUAAUAUUAUAAACUAUCUAAAAAGUAUUGCUCAUUGUAAUAUUUAUUGUUUCAUAAUUUUAAUAAAUUAUCUCAAUUUUGACUUUGAAAAUAUCUCAAAUUGACUCUCAAAAGUCAAUAACGAUAUUAUAAAUUGGAACAAAGGGAGUACUAAAUCUGUUUCCUCCAGCAAUGCUGCCUAAUUCUUUAAGGAAGAGGGCUUUCUUUUUUCCUUUAACUCAUAACUCAUUAAAUAUGUAUGAAAGUUAUAGCUGCUGAGUUUAGCUAUGCAGAUGCACCUUUUGUUCAAUUAAAAUGUUGAUCUGUGUCUUCUUGUUGUGAUUUCUAUUACUCGUCAUGUUUAAAUCAGGUACCUAAAGGUCUGGAGAUGGGAAUAGGAACAAUGUCACGUGGAGAAAAGGCAGUAAUUUAUGUAACUAGCAAAUACCUAACUCAGUGCUCAUUCAUGCCCAGCAUAGAAGGUACUGAGGAAGUUCAUUUUAAAGUGGAGCUUGUCCACUUUAUUCAGGUGCGCAAAGUUAUUUUAUGCUGUAAAUUAAAGUCAUCUGUGGUGUCAUAUGCAGUUCAUCCUCUUGAAAUUCUUCAACUUAUAGUCCUGAUUAGUCUUAUUUUAUUCAUUUAAUAAGAACGUGCAUUCUGAGUAGACGAGUAAAGUUUAAUGGGUGUCUUUGUGUGAAAGAACUUCUUUCAUAUGCAACGGCCACUUUGAUCAUAUUGUCUCAGUAAGGUUAGACUGAGAUGGCUUAGUAAGAUUUCCAGUUCGAGUGAAUUAUAUUUUGAAGUUGAAUGCUAUAUAUUUUAAGUCUCUCUCUCAGUGAAUCCUGUUAAUUCUAAUUUUUGUGUGGUAUGAUUUGUCAUGGCUAGACACGUACUAUAGCAAUACCUCAAUUGGCGCUCCCUUAGCAUUCUUCAUCAUUUGCUUUGGCGUAGAAUGUAGAUUGCCUUGCUCCAAAAUGUCUCGAGUGGUGAUAUACUUCUCUCAUAUUUCCUUUUUGUGCUUUACCAAAAUUGUUCAAGUACUUUGUGUGAAUCUUUCUGCAACACUGAGGUGCCUUGUUAUUAUCAGCAGGGUAUUGCCUGGGAUGCUCCAAUAAGCAUUUCAUAUAAUUUGUCAAAUGUUUAUAGAGGACUGAAGUAUUUGCGCCUCUUUCUGUUGCACUUUCUUCAAAAUCAAGUUAUAUCUACUAUAUACAAUUUGACAUGGAUUUCCUGAAACCUGGGUUACACAUUUGCAGGUGCGGGAUGUGCUUGGAGAUGGGCGUCUAAUGAAACGCCGCAUCCGUGAUGGAAAAGGUGCCAUUUCAAGCUUUUACUUAAAUCAUUACAAAGAGAAUAUAAUAUUCCGUGAUAUUUCUAUUUUCUUUUAACAAACAGAAUUAUCGUUUAGAAUCUUUAUAAUGCUGGAUUUUUAAAAUCAAAUGCUUCAUUCUGAAAACAUGAACAAUAUAGUGUAUAAUUUCUUCUUGGAUACCACAACGAAGUUGGCAUCAUAGUGCAUUUUAGCCCUACUGUUUUUUUAUUUCAAGUUGUUAGUUACUAUUUCUGCAAUUCUGCUACUGUUUUGUCAUUCUUCCUUGUCCUAAUUCUUACUUUGGUGGCUCAUCUUUGUAAAUGCUGGAAUUUAAUUAUGUGAUCCAUGGGUUUUCAGAUCCGGACCGGCAGUCGAACCGGAAAAAACUGGAACGGGUUGGCCCUCUGGUCCGAUUUGGAUCAAAGAUCCAAUUUUGUCCAAAAAUUGUUCAAACCCGACGAACCGGCGGUUGAACCGCCUGAACCAGUGAACCGGUGACUUGUUUGCGAGUUGGACCGGUUCCCUACUUAAAUUAAAGAAAAAAAAUUAGGACUUCAGCUCUGCACUUCUGCUCCUUCUCCGUUGCCCAAAUUAAUCAUUAAUGUAUGACUUACUUUAAUAAAUAACACAAAACUACUCACUUUCCAGACCCAUUAUUCAUACCCUAUAAGCCUUAACAAUAUUUACAAAUAAUAAUCACAGAAGAAUGACAAACUAAUAUCCAGAUCUAAGCCAAAACAUAAAGUCAAAAAGAAAAGAAGAAGAAAUAAAAAGAAAAAGAAGAAGUAUUCAUAAAAUUUCAUCAGUGUCAAAAUAAUCGCCGAAGAAAUCCCAAAGUUUAAGAGCAAAAUCAAAAUCAAAAUCAAAAGCUAGCAUUUUAGAUCGGAUUAAUCAAAAGUUGUUGGAUGAUGGAUGUGUAUCUUUGUGUGUAUUGCCAAUUUGGGGGUUGUCGUUGGAAUGAUAAAAGUAGAGUAUGUAUAUUCCCGUUAGAAUGAUCAACCGUUGUUGAAACUUGGAAUGAUAAGAUUUUAAUUAGAAUAUGUCAAAAGCAUAUUCCUUGACUAUAAUAUGAUAAAAGAAGGAGAGUAUGUAUCUAGACUAUAAAAGAAGGGGAUUAUUUUCUGUUUAAAGAUUUUAAUUAAAAUAUGCCAAAAGCAUAUUCUCUUUUGACUAUAAUAUGAUAAAAGAAGGGGUUUAUGUAUUUAGGCUCUAGAGAUGUUUAUGUUUAUUUGUGUUUGAUUUUAUCACUCUUGAGUUUUGAGUUAUAAUCAUGAUUUAAUAUCUUUCUUUUCAUAUAAAUUUAGUAUUUAUUUGAAUUAUAUAAAGUAUACAUUAUACAAAUUUGUUUAGCUUUUUUUGGUAGAUAAAUUGAUUAAUUUUACAUAUUUACUAAAUAUUAUAUAUAAUAAUUAAUAUAUUUAAUUAUUUUUUAUAUAUUAAUGAUGUCAUUGUAUCAAUAACGGUUGGACCACUAGUUAGAUCAGUGAAUAGACCUGGCAAAAGUGGCCUGGACCCGCAGGCUCGUCUGGCCAGCCCGCAAAAAAUUGGGCUAUGGGCUUUAUUAUUGCAGCCCAUUUAAAGUUGGACAAUUUUGGCCCAACCCAUUUUUGGCCCGGCUCGUGAUAGCCCGGUUCGCGGGUGAAUUAUUUUUUUUAAAAAACAAAAACAAUGCUACUUGUGAGGGUUGAACACAAGACCUCCAAGUCAUUAAAUAAGAGUUUAAUCCAACUUAACUACAACAACUACUUGUUUUAACAUGUGUCUAAAUAAAAGUAAAAAAAAUAAAAAGACAACCGUUUAAACAAAAUGUACAAUCUCUAGUUUUAAUUUGUUUGUCUUUUUAAAUAAGUUAAAUUUGAAUCAUAAUUAAAAAUAUUUAAUUUAAAUUAUUUAAAAUUUAAUUUUAUCCAAUACAUAAGUUUCUCAAACAUCAAUAUCAUUUAAAAAAGAUUCUCCAUUUAACUUUAAAAAUUAUAUUGAAAAAUGUAUUUAUUAAACUCUAAAUAAUAUAAAAUUUUGAAUUUUAGAUAGUUUUACUAUAUUCACAGUACUCUAUAUUGAUUAAAAUUAAAUACAUUUAUAUUAAUCCUAAAUUUAAUCAUAUCAUAUAUUUAUUUUAAAAAGUUAAAAUAACUCUUUUUAUCAAUCGGAUGUUGUAAUAAUAUUACUGAUUUGGGCAUGGACAUACGAAGUACUUAAAUUAUUUAAUUUAAAUAUAAUAAAAAAUAUAUUUCCAACUUUGCCCCUACAUCUGAGGAAAAAGAAAGUAAUAUAUUUUUAUUUUUAAACUGCUUGUAUUUUUAUUGUUCAUCUUGAUUGUUGCUAUCUACUUGUCACCAAAUAUACUUAUAAUUUCUAUUAAUCUCAAAAUUUUAUAUUAUUUAGAGUUAAAUAAAUACAUUUUCCAAUAUAAUUUUUAAAGUUAAAUGGAGAAUCAUUGUAUAAAUGAUAUUGGUGUUUGAGAAACUUAUGUAUUGGAUAAAAUUAAAUUUUAAAUAAUUUAAAUUGAAUAUUUUUAAUUAUGAUUCAAAUUUAACUCGUUUAGAAAGACAAACAAAUUAAAACUAGAGAUUGUACAUUUUGUUUAAACGGUUGUCAUUUUAUUUUUUUUACUUUUAUUUAGACACAUGUUAAAACAAGUAGUUGUUGUAGUUCAGUUGGAUUGAACUCUUAUUUAAUGACUUGGAGGUCUUGUGUUCAACCCUCACAAGUAACUAUAUAGUCUUUAUUCUUUUACUUUGAGUUAAAUUGACAAAUUGUGUAGCAUGGGAAAAAAAAAGGAAGAAGCCCGCGGGCCGGCCCAAUCCGGGCCACUGGCCUAACAAUUCUAGCCCAAGAAAAGCUGGGCCAUUUUAGCCCGACCUAAAUUUGGCCCGGCCCGGCCCGUUUGCCAGGUCUACCAAUGACCCAUUUACCCUGGUUCGAUGACCGGUCCGGUUUAAAAACCUUGCUGUGAUCUAUGACAAGAGCCUACUAUCACGGCUAAGCAUAUUUGAUGUUUGAUUCUUUCUUGAUUCUUCAAAAUAUGUAGGUGAAUUUCCUAUGAAUUGCCCUCUUCAUGAUAGUGUACUACGUGUCCAUUACAAGGGCAUGCUUCUUAAUGAGGAAAAGACAGUCUUCUAUGAUACAAAAGUCGAUAACAAUGGUCAGCCUUUGGAAUUCAGCUCAGGAGAAGGGCUUGUAAGUUCACUUUUGUUAAUAAAGCAUAACUUGACAAGUUUUCAAUCUUAUUUAUUGAUAAGGUUUGGGUCGCUGAUUAAUACGUCUAUAUCAAUGAGGCAUUCCCCUGUUUCAACAAACAAAUGCACUGAAUAACAGUAGGAGACAUAAGCUGUAAUGUAUGAAGCCCUGAAUAUAGGCUGUCUAACUUUUUUCUUUUAUUCUUUCAUUUUGUAUACCUUCCAUGUUGGUACCCCCCUCUUCUU
rnacentral:lncRNA from 1 species